GUCUUUUUUUUGUAGUGCAAAGGCCUUAGAAUGGGCAAGUUCCGUUCCAACGGCAAGGACCGAGCCAAGCUUGACGACUGGUUCCGAUCCCCGCCCUAGAUCAGCUCGAGGAGCUCAAUUUUGAUGAUGGGCAUAUGCAUUCGCUGCCAACGUCCCCACUCCGCCUAGCGCCCACGAUGCGCGUCGCCAAGUUCAGGAACUGCCAUUUCCCGCCCCUUAAUGACGCGCCCGCUCUUAUUCUACCACGACUGAAGCACCUCGAGCUCGUCGCCGUCUGCCUCUCAAAGGGUGACAUGGAGUGCCUGCUCCGUGGCUGUACUGCACUCGAGUACCUUCAUCUUCAGGCGAUCAAUGGGUUGAGUACCUUCCACAUCACCUCCAUGACUCUUCGGACUAUUUGUGUGUGUUGCUCGUGCGGCAGGAAGACAUCACAAAAGGUGGACCACGGUAUGGUCAUCCAGGACACACCUGCACUUGAGAGAUUACUUGUAGUUGAUCAAGAAGGUCCAACAAGAAUCAAUGUCAUUUCUGCACCGAAAUUGACAGUGGUGAGCUACUCGUCUGACAAAUACUCCGAACUUGUUAUUGGAUCCACACCCGUUCAGGUACAACAGCCGCCUUCUACCUCUCCUUCUACAAAUUAACAUUAUUUCUAAUUUUGAAGAUGUUUGUUCGUCUGUCAUUCAAAAAAUGAUUCCGACAAGCUUGACCCUGAAACUGUGCACAGUGAAGGUCUUGGAACUAGAAUCUAUCGGGCCCUACCUAGAGCAAGUUGUCGGUUUCCUGAGAUGCUUUCUGUGCCCGGAGAAGCUAUAUAUCGAGGUGAUGUUUCUUUCCUGUUAAAUGUUAACCAUAAGGGAGUUCAAUUUGUGACACCUUUUUCCUAGUUUACAAUGACAAUGUACUACGAUUUCUGAAGGUUCUUUUGGAGGAUUUCAGUACAUACAUGCCCCCCAUAUUGGUUGCUUGAUCCAUAUGGUUACAAUCAAUAAGCAUUUCUCCUUUGGAUUCAUCUGUACUAGUUUUCUUAGGGAACUUUUCAUCCACUCCAACCUCUUGUGAAGAAGGCUACAUUUUUCUAGAAUGUAAUCAAAUGCCCAUGUUAAUCAUGUCAGAUCGAAGAUGGCAUGUUAGUGCAUUUUACAAAUCCUGCAAACCAAAUAGCUAGUCCUGUAGUAAUGUUCAAAACUGCAUGUAGGCACUAACACGUUUUCUUCUUUUGCAGAUAAGAUUAGGCCCAGUGGUGGAUAAUGUGAUACAAUAUAACAAUCACGUCGAAUGCCUAGAUCUGCAUCUCUCAGAAAUUACUUUGAACUCCUACCGAGGGACCUUGCCGGAGAUUAUAUUCGCCAGGUUCUUUGUUCUCAGAGCAAGGGUGCUGAAGGAAAUGAGGUUUGCCCUACAUUUAUUUUGCAAAAAUGAAUGGUCUGUUGAUCAGCGCCGGCGCCUGCGGCGGAAUGGAGUAGGCUCCAAAAAUGCUGAAUUUCAUUUUGGAACUUCAGAUGACAGAGUAAUCGGAAGUCAUCGGGUCAACCCCAUACAUGACUUCUCAGUGGCUGACCCCUUUGCAAAAAUUGUGAGGUUUCGAAGCCAAACUUAGAAGCGGUGAUAUUAGUUUGAACCUCUCUGAUAUCCAUGUUCAGCGCAUCAGCGCGAGGGUUUGCAGCUGAUGAGCUAAAUUUCAUUUCCAAUAUCAGUUUGAACCUUGUAAUCUUCGAAUUUGAGCCACAUAACUCUAGUAUUUGAACCUUGUAACAUUUCGAGCUUUUGUGGUACAAUCGUUGAAAUGGCAUCGUAUGAGACUCGUAUAUUGCUAGCACUAUUUUGACCUUAAUAUACAAUGGUCUUAGAUUUUAUUAACCAUUCUCGAAUCAGUUUGGCUUGUCGAUCUCACAGCACACGAUCUGUAUAGCUAACUCGACUGCGAUCUUCGACAUUAUUGCACACAGUUGGUUUCUUCCACCGUGUGCACUGUAGAGCGCAGAAUUAAUUAUCGCACUCGAGUGUCCAUCAUCACCCUUCUGUGUAACUUUGACCUCAUCACCCAAGGGUAAACUUAUGACCGAAGUCAUUCCACACACUUCGUUUUUACAAAGCUUUUUGCCAAUAAAUGCCCACGAUUUGUCCCUCUUCUAGCCGACGCGUAGCCAAACUAGCCGGGCGGGAAGCUUGCGCGGUAAACAGCGCGGUAGCACGGGAACAGGCUCACCGACGAUACAUUUGGCGCCUCUUCGAGCCCACGCCUGGGGUGCGGUGUUGUGACGCAUGCACUGGAUUCUGGAAUCCUCCGCUAUGAACGCCGUGACAAGACGUGACGAUUACAGGCCGGCCGGACCCCAUUUAUUACAGCGGCCAUUUAACCUACCCUUGUGUCUCUUCAACCUUUCGAUCGCGCCCCACCAUUGCAAGAAGCACACCCACCACGAGAAAUUCUUAAAGGGUAUCCUGCGCGGCUCCAAUGGUGCUCCGAGCGGCCACCGACGACGAGCAGCAGUUCACCAUGCGUGCCGUGGUGGACACCCACAGAAGGUUCAUGGACCUCUCGGUGGUGUACACCAAUGAUCCGGUCUGGGUGGAGCACUCCAUCCACAUCAUGGAGUUGUUGCUUGCCGAGGAGAAGUACAAGGUGGUCGGGUUCGACCUCGAGUAUACCCGCGCUCGUGCUGGGUCUCGUCCCAAGGUCGCCGUCGCCCAGAUGUGCGUGCCCCACCACGUCCUCGUCUACCACUACUGCCUGGCCACAAGGCCUUGCGGGCGUUUCGCCAGGUUUGUCAACAGCCCCCACUACAUGUUCGCUACGGUGGACAUCACCAAUGAUGUAAAGGCGCUUGAGAGUUCGGGCAUCGCCUGCCAGAAUCUUGUCGAGAUCCAGGGCCAAUACAAGAUCUGGGGCAGCAAGGAGCAUGAGAAGGACUCACUGGUUCACCUUGCCGAGGCCAUCAUCGACCCUACUAUAGAGACAUGAAGGAUUCGUGCAACAAGGACAAGCGUGCCUGGCACUCGGCCUGGAUGGAGAAACUCGACAAAGCUCACGUCGUGUACGCGGCCAAGGAGGCGUACACGAGCUACGACAUGUAUCGGCGGAUCAUUGACAUGAGGAAGUGCCUCCUUCCCCAAAACGGACAGGGAUCCAGCCGGAAGCAGAGCAAUGGCAAGCAUAGUCACAACAAUAAGUAGAUGAUUAGAUCCUCGUUUCUCCUACUUUAGUAUGCAUGUAAUUGCUUACUUUGGUGUGUGCAAAUGUUAUGUGUGUAGUCACUUGUGUAAUUGUAUGCUUAAUUUGGUUAUGUAAUGCUGUCUUUUUAAGUAUAUAUGUUGAUGCUCUGUAGACAGAGCGUAGAUGGUGUGCGGACAAAGAAAAUCACAUCGCACACGGAUUAAACAAUGCAACCCGUCGGUGAUGUUUUCAUCAAUCACUCACAAUUGUAUACCAGCAAUCGUUUGCUCACAACACACAUGGCUUGUUAGCAGUAAUCGUCUGUGUUCUUAUCGGUCUUCGCACACGUUUUUUAUUACAGACCUGUUUGCCUCGUAUCACACACAUCUUGUUCAUUUGAACCGUUUCUGUUCUCAUGUCUCAACACAAACAGUUCAUCCGAGUGAACCGCAUGCCGUAUAUCGCACACACACCUUUGAUCUUGCUGACCGUUUCUUUUGUGUUGCCUAAUCACAAACAGUUCAUCCGAGUGAACCAUAUGCUGUAUAUCGCACAUACCUUCAUCUGGCUGCCCGUUUCUUUUGUUCCUCCUCAUCACAAACAGUUAAUUGAGCUGAACCGUAUGCCCUGCAUCGCACACGCAACUAAAAUCGGAACCGUGUUUGAUGCAUCGUCCAUCGCAAACGUUUUGCAUCAUUUCUGACGGUUUUCAUACAACACCGUUUGCGAUUAUUGCAUAGCACACAGUUUCUCGAAGGGUCUCUGAUCGUUGUGUCGCGUUAGCAGCAUCCUGCAGUAGUGAUAGUUCUCGAACCCGUAGGGACCGCACGCUUAACGUUCGAUGACAAUUUGUAUUAUGAGUUAUGUGUUUUGGUGACCGAAGAUUGUUCGGAGUCCCGGAUGAGAUCACGGACAUGACGAGGAGUCUUGAAAUGGUCGAAAGGUAAACAUUGAUAUAUUGGACGAUGAUAUUCGGACAUCGGAAUGGUUUCGGAAAGGUUCGGGUAUAUUUUGGAGUACCAAGGGGUUACCGGAACCCCCCGGGGAAGUAUUGGGCCUACAUGGGCCUUAGUGGAGAGAGAGGGGAGCCUGCAAGGGGUGGCGCAUGCCCCCCUCCAAGGGAGUCCGAAUAGGACAAGGAGGAGGGGGCGCGGCCCCCUUUCCCUCUCCCUCUCCCUCUCCUUCCUUUUCCCCCUCCGAUGAGAAAGGAAAAAAGGGGGGGCGAAUCCUACUAGGAGUGGAGUCCUAGUAGACUCCCCCCCAUGGCGCGCCCCCUUGGUGGUCGGCCUCCUCCUCCCCUCCUUUAUAUACGGGGGCAGGGGGCACCCCAUAGGACAUCAGCUAUUCUCUUAGCCGUGUGCGGUGCCCCCUCCACAGUUUACUCCUCCGAUCAUAGCAUCGUAGUGCUUAGGCGAAGCCCUGCGCGGAUCACAUCACCAUCACCGUCACCAUGCCGUCAUGCUGACGAAACUCUCCCUCGACCCUCUACUGGAUCAAGAGUUUGAGGGACGUCAUCGAGCUGAACGUGUGCUGAACUCGAAGGUGCCAUACGUUCGGUACUAGAUCGGUUGGAUCGUGAAGACGUUCGACUACAUCAACCGCGUUAACCUAACGCUUCUGCUUCCGGUCUACGAGGGUACAUGGACACACUCUCCCCCUCUUGUUGCUAUGCAUCUCCUAGAUAGAUCUAGCAUGAGCGUAGGAAAUUUUUGAAAUUGCAUGCUACGUUCCCCAACAGUGGCAUCCAAGCCAGGUCUAUGCGUAGAUGAUAUGCACGAGUAGAACACAAAGAGUUGUGGGCGAUAAUAUUCAUACUGCUUACCACCAACAUCUUAUUAUGAUUCGGCAAUAUUGUUGGAUGAAGCGGCCCGGACCAACCUUACAUGACCACGUUCAUGAGACCGGUUCCACCGACAGACAUAAAACUUGUUUGCAUAAAGGUGGCUAGCGGGUGUCUAUUUCUCCAACUUUAGUUGAAUUGAAUUUGACUACGACCGGUCCUUGUUGAAGGAUAAAACAGCACACUUGACAAAAAAUCAUUGUGGUUUUGAUGCGUAGGUAAGAACAGUUCUUGCUAGAAGCCCGAGCAGCCACGUAAAACUUGCAACAACAAAGUAGAGGACGUCUAACUUGUUUUUGCAGGGCAUGUUGUGAUGUGAUAUGGUCAAGACAUGAUGUGAUAUAAGUUAUUGUAUGAGAUGAUCAUGUUUUGUAAAAGUUAUCGGCAACUGGCAGGAGCCUUAUGGUUGUCGCUUUAUUGUAUGAAAUGCAAUCGCCAUGUAAUUGCUUUACUUUAUCACUAUGCGAUAGCGACAGUCGUAGAAGCAAUAGUUGGCGAGACGACAACUACGCUGCGAUGGAGAUCAAGGUGUCAAGCCGGUGACGAUGGAGAUCAUGACGGUGCUUUGGAGAUGGAGAUCAAAGGCACAAGAUGAUGAUGGCCAUAUCAUGUCACAUAUUUUGAUUGCAUGUGAUGUUUAUCUUUUAUGCAUCUUAUUUUUCUUAGUACGGCGAUAGCAUUAUAAGAUGAUCCCUCACUAAAUUUCAAGGUAUAAGUGUUCUCCCUGAGUAUGCACCGUUGCGACAGUUCGUCGUGCCGAGAGACCACGUGAUGAUCGGGUGUGAUAACCUCUACGUUCACAUACAACGGGUGCAAGACAGUUUUGCAUGUGCAUAAUACUCGGGUUAAACUUGAGGAGCCUAGCAUAUGCAGAUAUGGCCUCGGAACACUGAGACCGAAAGGUUGAACGUGAAUCAUACAGUAGAUAUGAUCAACAUAGAGAUGUUCACCAUUGAAAACUACUCCAUCUCAUGUGAUGAUCGGGCAUGGUUUAGUUGAUAUGGAUCACAUGAUCAUUUAGAUGACUAGAGGGAUGUCUAUCUAAGUGGGAGUUCUUAAGUAAUAUGAUUAAUUGUACUUUAAUUUAUCAUGAAUUUAGUCCUGAUAGUUUUUGCAUAUCUAUGUUGUUGUAGAUCAAUGGCCCGUGCUACCGUUCCUUUGAAUUUUAAUGCAUUCCUAGAGAAAGCUAAGUUGAAAGAUGAUGGUAGCAACUACACGGACUGGGUCCAUAACUUGAGGAUUAUCCUCAUAGACGCACAGAAGAAUUACGUCCUGGAAGCACCGCUAGGUGCAAGGCCUGCUGCAGGAGCAACUCCGGACGUUAUGAACGUCUCGCAAGCUAAAGCUGAUGACUACUCGAUAGUUCAGUGUGCCGUGCUUUAUGGCUUAGAAUCAGGACUUCAAAGACGUUUUGAACGUCAUGGAGCAUAUGAGAUGUUCCAGGAUUUGAAGUUAAUAUUUCAAGCAAAUGCCCGAGUUGAGAGAUAUGAAGUCUCCAACAAGUUCUAUAGCUGCUAGAUGGAGGAGAACAGUUCUCUCAGUGAACACAUACUCAGAAUGUCUGGGUACCAUAACCACUUGACUCAGUUGGGAGUUAAUCUUCCUGAUGAUAGUGUCAUUGACAGUUCUUCAAUAACUGCCACCAAGCUAUAAAGGCUUCGUGAUGAACUAUAAUAUGCAAGGGAUGGAAAAGACAAUUCCCGAGCUCUUCGCGAUGCUUAAGGCUGCGAAGGUAGAAAUCAAGAAGGAGCAUCAAGUGUUGAUGGUUAACAAGACCACUAGUUUCAAGAAAAAGGGCAAAGGGAAGAAGGGGAACUUCAAGAAGAAUAGCAAGCAAGUUGCUACUCCCGGGAAGAAGCCCAAGUCUGGACCUAAGCCUGAAACUGAGUGCUUCUACUGCAAAGGGACUGGUCACUGGAAGCGGAACUGCCCCAAGUUUUUAGCGGAUAAGAAGGAUGGCAAAGUGAAAGGUAUAUUUGAUAUACAUGUUAUUGAUGUGUACCUUACUAAUGCUCGUAGUAGCGCCUGGGUAUUUGAUACUGGGUCUGUUGCUCAUAUUUGCAACUCGAAACAGGGGCUACAGAUUAAACGAAGAUUGGCUAAGGACAAGGUGACGAUGCGCGUCGGAAAUGGUUCCAAGGUCGAUGUGAUCGCCAUCGGCAUGCUACCUCUACAUCUACCUUCGGGAUUAGUUUUAGACCUAAAUAAUUGUUAUUUGGUGCCAGCGUUGAGCAUGAACAUUAUAUCUGGAUCUUGUUUGAUGUGAGAUGGUUAUUCAUUUAAAUCGGAGAAUAAUGGUUGUUCUAUUUAUAUGAGUAAUAUCUUUUAUGGUCAUGCACCCUUGAAGAGUGGUCUAUUCUUGUUGAAACUCGAUAGUAGUGACACACAUAUUCAUAAUAUUGAAGCCAAAAGAUGCAGAGUUCAUAAUGAUAGUGCAACAUAUUUGUGGCACUGCCGUUUAGGUCAUAUUGAUGUAAAGCGCAUGAAGAAACUCCAUUCUGAUGGACUUUUGGAAUCACUUGAUUAUGAAUCACUUGGUACUUGCGAACCAUGCCUCAUGGGCAAGAUGACUAAAACUCCGUUCUCCGGAACAAUGGAGCGAGCAACAGAUUUGUUGGAAAUCAUACAUACUGAUGUAUGUGGUCCGAUGAAUGUUGAGGCUCGCGGCGGGUAUCGUUAUUUUCUCACCUUCACAGAUGAUUUGAGCAGAUAUGGGUAUAUCUACUUGAUGAAACAUAAGUCUGAAACAUUUGAAAAGUUCAAAGAAUUUCAGAGUGAAGUGGAAAAUCAUCGUAAUAAGAAAAUAAAGUUUCUACAAUCUAAUCUCGGAGGCGAAUGUUUGAGUUACGAGUUUGGUCUUCAUUUGAAACAAUGUGGAAUAGUUUCACAACUCACGCCACCUCGAACACCACAGCGUAAUGGUGUGUCCGAACGUCGUAAUCGUACUUUAUUAGAUAUGGUGCGAUCAAUGAUGUCUCUUACCGAUUUACCACUAUUGUUUUGGGGUUAUGCUUUAGAGACGGCUGCAUUCACGUUAAAUAGGGCACCAUCUAAAUCCAUUGAGACGACACCAUAUGAACUGUGGUUUGGCAAGAAACCUAAGAUGACGUUUCUUAAAGUUUGGGGUUGUGAUGCUUAUGUGAAAAAGCUUCAACCUGAUAAGCUCGAACCCAAAUCGGAGAAGUGCGUCUUCAUAGGAUACCCAAGAGAAACUGUUGGGUACACCUUCUAUCACAGAUCCGAAGGCAAGACAUUUGUUGCUAAGAACGGAUCCUUUCUAGAGAAGGAGUUUCUCUCGAAAGAAGUGAGUGGGAGGAAAGUAGAACUUGACGAGGUAGUUGUACCUUCUCUCGAAUUGGAAAGAUACCUACACCAAUAAGUGAGGAAGUUAAAGAUGAUGAUCAUGAAACUUCAGAUCAAGUUACUACCGAACCUCGUAGGUCAACCAGAGUACGUUCCGCACCAGAGUGGUACGGUAAUCCUGUUCUAGAAGUCAUGUUACUAGACCAUGAUGAACCUACGAACUAUGAGGAAGCGAUGAUGAGCCCAGAUUCCGCGAAAUGGCUUGAGGCCAUGAAAUCUGAGAUGGGUCCAUGUAUGAGAACAAAGUGUGGACUUUGGUUGAAUUUCCCGAUGAUCGACAAGCCAUAGAAAAUAAAUGGAUUUUCAAGAAGAAGACUGACGCUGACGGUAAUGUUACUGUCUACAAAGCUCGACUUGUUGUGAAAGGUUUUCGACAAGUUCAAGGGGUUGACUACGAUGAGUCCUUCUCACCCGUAGCGAUGCUUAAGUCUGUCCAAAUCAUGUUAGCAAUUGCCGCAUUUUAUGAUUGUGAAAUUUGGCAAAUGGAUGUCAAAACUGCAUUCCUUAAUGGAUUUCUUAAAGAAGAGUUGUAUAUGAUGCAACCAGAAGGUUUUGUCGAUCCUAAAGGUACUAACAAAGUGUGCAAGCUCCAGCGAUCCAUUUAUGGACCGGUGCAAGCCUCUCGGAGUUGGAAUAUACGCUUUGAUAGUGUGAUCAAAGCAUAUGGUUUUAUACAGAAUUUUGGAGAAGCCUGCAUUUACAAGAAAGUGAGUGGGAGCUCUGUAGCAUUUCUAAUAUUGUAUGUGGAUGACAUAUUGUUGAUUGGAAAUGAUAUAGAAUUUCUGGAUAGCAUAAAAGGAUACUUGAAUAAGAAUUUUUCAAUGAAAGACCUCGGUGAAGCUGCUUAUAUACUGGGCAUCAAGAUCUAUAGAGAUAGACCAAGACGCUUAAUUUGACUUUCACAAAGCACAUACCUUGAUAAAUUUUUGAAGAAGUUCAAAAUGGAUUAGUCAAAGAAAGGGUUCUUGCCUGUGUUACAAGGUGAAAAGCUGAGUCAGACUCAAUGCCCGACCACUAUAGAAGAUAGAGAGAAAAAGAAAGUCAUUCCCUAUGCCUCAACCAUAGGUUCUAUCAUGUAUGCAAUGUUGUGUACCAGACUUGAUGUGUGCCUUGCUAUAUGUUUAGCGGGGAGGUACCAAAGUAAUCCAGGAGUGGAUCACUGGACAACGGUCAAGAACAUCCUGAAAUACCUAAAAACGACUAAGGAUAUGUUUCUCGUUUAUGGAGGUGACAAAGAGCUUGUCGUAAAUGGUUACGUCGAUGCAAGCUUUGACACUGAUAUGUAUUUAUAUUGAAUGGUGGAGCUGUAAGUUGGUGCAGUUCCAAGCAGAGUGUCAUGGCGGGAUCUACGUGUGAAGCGGAGUACAUAGCUGCUUCGGAAGCAGCAAAUGAAAGGAGUCUGGUUGAAGGAGUUCAUAUCCGAUCUAGGUGUAAUACCUAGUGCAUCGGUUCCAAUGAAAAUCUUUUGUGACAAUACUGGAGCAAUUGCCUUAGCAAAGGAAUCCAGAUUUCACAAGAUCAAACACAUCAAGAGAUGCUUCAACUCCAUCCGCGAUCAAGUCAAGGAGGGAGACAUAGAGAUUUGCAAAAUACAUAUGGAUCUGAAUGUUGCAGACCCGUUGACUAAGCCUCUUCCACGAGCAAAACAUGAUAAGCACCAAGACGCCAUGGGUGUUAGAAUCAUUACAAUGUAAUCUAGAUUAUUGACUCUAGUGCAAGUGGGAGACUGCAGGAAAUAUGCCCUAGAGGCAAUGAUAAAGUUGUUAUUUAUAUUUCCUUAUAUCAUGAUAAAUGUUUAUUAUUCAUGCUAGAAUUGUAUUAACCGGAAACUUGAUACAUGUGUGAAUACAUAGACAAAACAUAGUGUCCCUAGUAUGCCUCUACUUGACUAGCUCGUUAAUCAAAGACGGUUAAGUUUCCUGACCAUAGACAUGUGUUGUCAUUUGAUGAACGGGAUCACAUCAUUAGGAGAAUGAUGUGAUGGACAAGACCCAUCCAUUAGCUUAGAAUAAUGAUCGUUAUGUUUUAUUGCUAUUGCUUUCUUCAUGACUUAUACAUAUUUCUCUGAUUAUGAGAUUAUGCAACUCCCGAAUACUGGAGGAACACCUUGUGUGCUAUCAAACAUCACAAUGUAACUGGGUGAUUAUAAAGAUGCUCUACAGGUGUCUCCGAAGGUGUUUUUUGGGUUGGCAUAGAUCAAGAUUAGGAUUUGUCACUCCGAGUAUCGGAGAGGUAUCUCUGGGCCCUCUCGGUAAUGCACAUCACUAUAAGCCUUGCAAGUAAUGUGACUAAUGAGUUAGUUACAGGAUGAUGCAUUACGGAACGAGUAAAGAGACUUGCCGGUAACGAGAUUGAACUAGGUAUGAGGAUACCGACGAUCGAAUCUCGGGCAAGUAACAUACCGAUGACAAAGGGAAUAACGUAUGUUGUUAUUGCGGUUUGAGCGAUAAAGAUCUUCGUAGAAUAUGUAGGAACCAAUAUGAGUAUCCAGGUUCCGCUAUUGGUUAUUGACCGGAGAUGUGUCUCGGUCAUGUCUACAUAGUUCUCGAACCCGUAGGGUCCGCACGCUUAACGUUCGAUGAGGAUUUGUAUUAUGAGUUAUGUGUUUUGGUGACCGAAGAUUGUUCGGAAUCCCGAAUUAUAUCAUGGAUAUGACGAGGAGUCUCGAAACGGUCGAGAGGUAAAGAUUGAUAUAUUGGACGAUGAUAUUCGGACACCGGAAUGGUUUCGAAAAGGUUCGGGUAUAUUUCGGAGUACCAGGGGUUACCGGAACCCCCCGGGGAAGUAUUGGGCCUACAUGGGCCUUAGUGGAGAGAGAGGGGAGCCUGCAAGGGGUGGUGUGCGCCCCCCUCCAAGGGAGUCCGAAUAGGACAAGGAGGAGGGGCGCGGCCCCCUUUCCCUCUCCCUCCCCUUUCCUUCCUUUUCCCCCUCCCCAUGGCGCGCCCCCUUGGUGGCCGGCCUCCUCCUCCCCUCCUUUAUAUACGGGGGCAGGGGGCACCCCAUAGGACAUCAGUUAUUCCCUUAGCCAUGUGCGGUGCCCCCCUCCACAGUUUACUCCUCCGGUCAUAGCGUUGUAGUGCUUAGGCGAAGCCUUGCGCGGAUCACAUCACCAUCACCGUCACCACACCGUCAUGCUGACGGAACUCUCCCUCGACCCUCUGCUGGAUCAAGAGUUCGAGGGAUGUCAUCGAGCUGAACGUGUGCUGAACUCGGAGGUGUCGUACGUUCGGUACUAGAUCGGUUGGAUUGUGAAGACGUUCGACUACAUCAACCGCCUUAACCUAACGCUUUUGCUUUCGGUCUAUGAGGGUACGUGGACACACUCUCCCCCUCUCGUUGCUAUGCAUCUCCUAGAUAGAUCUUGCGUGAGCGUACGGAAUUUUUGAAAUUGCAUGCUACGUUCCCCAACAGUGUGAAAGUCCGGCCUUUGACGAAUCACGGAAGACAUGGCCUUGUUGAAAGGCAUGAUGGCCUUGAGGAACUUGCGCUUGAUCCAAGUGUCAUCUGUAUCCUUGCUUCCAUGAUCUUGGAGAGAAACCGCAAGAGUUGUCACCCUCCGGUAAAGAUCACGUGGAUCCUCGUCUUCAAGCAUCACAAAUUCAUCGGCCUCAUCAAGGACCACUUCAAAGUUGGACCGUUGGAUGUUUGAGCUCCCCUUGUACAUGGAAAUAAUGUGCUCCCAACAAUCCUUUGCACGAGUGAAAGGUCGUAGGUGCGAUAGAUCUUCGGGAGGGACCGCUUCUUGAAGAAUGAACAAUGUGGAGUGAUUGUAUUGAUUGUCCACUUCUUCUCUUGGAGUGAAGUUGUUGGAUCAUGCGGGUAGAAUCCUUGCUCAAUGAUUCUCCAAAGGUUAGUUGAGCAAUGAUUCAAAUGAGACUUAAUGCGAAAGACCAAUUAGCAAAAUCACCCUUAACAAGCUUGGGAGGAGGACCAUGAAUAUUGAUGCGAGCUGUGGGGACCGGUCCUCCAUAGACCGGGGGAGGGGGAAUUGAGGCAAAGGUUCCCCUCCCAUUCUUGUCAUGAGGGGAAGGAACAUGAGUACCUUUAGCCGUUUCCUUGGCGGAAUUGGCCUCCGACUCCGAUGCGAUGGGAUUAACCACAAGCAAGGGGUCAGGAGUGGAUUUCAUCCCCUCAAGUAAUUCUUUAAUCAUGGACUUGACUUCGGUCGUCAUAGACGUCUUAACUGAAGUCGUAGCUUCAUUUAAGUCGUCUUGAGUGAUCAAAGUCAACUCCACGACCCCGGGCACUUCCUCCUUGAUUUCAACCAUACUCUUCGGGUGGUGAAACCCUUAAUAAAGAGACGAGGCUCUAAUACCAAUUAAAAGGAUCGAUAUGGUUGACUAGAGGGAGGGUGAAUAGGCAACUACCAAUUUUUAGCUUUUCUUAACAAAUUAGAUUAAGCAAUAAAUAGUUUGUCUAGAUGUGCAACUAGGUGAGCAACCUAUAUGAUGCUAACAACAACAACAACAACAAGUGCAAGCAAAAGAUACAACACAAUAAUAGCUUGCACAAAGUAAAAGGAAGAGAUAACCACAAGUGGAGCCGGUGGAGACAAGGAUGUGUUACCGAAGUUCCUUCCCUUUGGGGGGAAGUACAUCUUCGUUGGAGCGGUGUGGAGGCACAAUGCUCCCCAAGAAGCCACUAGAGCCACCGUAUUCUCAUCACACCCUCACACAAUGCGAGAUGCUGGGAUUCCACUAGUGGUGCCCUUGAAGGCGGCGACCGAACCUUUACAAACAAGGUUGGGGCUAUCUCCAAAACUUGAUUGGAGGCUCCCAACGAAACCACGGAGCUUCACCAUAAUGGAAUGUGGCUCCGAGGUGACCUCAACCGUCUAGGGUGCUCAAACACCCAAGAGUAACAAGAUCCGCAAGGGAUAAGUGGGGGGAAUCAAAUUUCUCUUGGUGGAAGUGUAGAACCGGGCCUUCUCAACCAAUCCCUAGAAAAUCAACAAGUUUGAUUGGCUAGGGAGAGAGAUCGGGCGAAAAUGAGCUUUGGAGCAACAAUGGAGCUUGGGGGAAAAGAGGUAGGUCUUUUUGGGGAAGAAGACCUCCUUUUAUAGUGGGGAGACCAAUCCAACCGUUAUCCCCUCCUCAACCCGCACAGAGUGGUACUACCGCUCGGGAGAGCGGUACUACCGCGAGCCCCAGCGGUACUAUCGCAGAGACACUGGGCAAGGGCCUCGGAGGGGGAAGGGACACGGGAGAGCUGGCCCUGAGAGGCACUAGCAGCGGUGGUAGGGCGGUACUACCGAUUGCAAGCGGUACUACCGCGCCUACUGCCGCUCCUACUGCCGCUCAACCCGACACGAGAAACUACGUCCUCGAAUCGAGGCGGUACCUGCACGGAACCGGGGCAGUACUACCGCUUAUGGCCACGAGCAGUACUACUUUUGUGAAACGGCGGUAGUACCGCUUGAGGCCAUAAGUGGUACUACCGCUCUGGUUCGGUGGUACUACCGCUGGCUCCUCUCAAGACCCACUUCCGAGAUAACGGCACACUCUAAGAAGGGGAAAGGAGCUGGUGGUGCAAGAAGGAUGUGUACGUGUUGAUUCCACCCUAGCCUUUCCGAUACGGACCCCUCUUGAUAGUACGGUGUCUCCUACGACUCAAGACCACCAAAACUGAAACGAAAGAGACUACACCAUCUUCACUUUGAGCUCCGAGGGGAAAUGAAUCGUCUCGUGCCAAUGAAUAAAUAUCUGAAAGCUCAAUGCACACGAUUAGUCCGCAAAAGCAUUGCCAUCAAUCACCAAAACCAGAGAGACAUGCCCUAACACCUGUGAUGGUGAGGUUACAGUUUCUCGUCAUGUUGCGUGAUUCCGUCUGAGAUGCUUCAGAUCUAGCAAGGGUUUAACAGUGAUGAAUGUGGCUUCAGGGCGUUGGUCCUUAAGGGCACGUGCAUGAAGACUUUCCGGCUGUCAUCGACAAGCUCAAACUGGCUCCGGUAGGGAGCGACGACGGCGGCUCGUUCUGACGGUAGUACUGGUCGUUUGAUGGUCUCAAAAUCUCGAUGUAACUUUUAUUAUGUUUGAGAUACUUUGUACUUACGAUGAACUUUUAUUAGAGAUGCAAUCCCUUUUAUGUGGAUAUAACUUCUUAGGGAUUGGUUAGAGAUGCUUAUUAGAGCAAGUACAAUAAUCCUACAUAAGCAGGUUGUAAGAGUUAAAAUAUUAUAUUUCUACUGGCAUGGAGGGGAGAGAAGAGGGGAGGAAAGAGGAGCCAGCUACAAUAAGAGCAAGCUGCAGCACGUGCUCCUAGGCACUAUGUGAGAGUGAAAGGUGGGCCAUGUAUUAGUAAAGUAGCACAUCUUUAUAUACUAGGUGACACCCCGCACCUUGUUGCGGGAAUAGUGUGCAACAUUUUCAAUGAGAUUCACUGCAUGAAACAUGAAUAUUUUGAGUAGUAAGAGCUAAAACUGAUAAUACAUAUUAGUUAUUGUAUUUGAUUAUUGUAUAGUGGUAAAAUAUUUAUUAAAUAUAAAUAACAUAAUGAAAUGAAAAUACUCAUGUAUGUUUACAUGUUGAGGUGAGUCCUUUUCCAUACAUGUUGCAUGAUGAUGUGGCAUGCUUGUAUGUUGAAACAAAUAGGGUAGUGGAGGUGGGCUUUUCCCAUGCAUGUUCUAUGAUGAGGUGGCAUGCUUGCAUGUUGAGAGAAAUAGAUUAGUGGGGGCUAGCUAUUUAGAUAUAGAAGAUAACUAUUGUACGUGCGGGCUAUAAAGUUGGUUAUAGAUAACAUGUCAACAUCAUAUGGCCAUCAGCUGGCUGUACUAUUAACCAUGCUCUUAUAGCAUCUCCAACAGCCGCGCGAUAUAAGCGCUGCGCUGGAAAAUUCUGUUUUUUGCGCGCGUGCAGCCGCUCCGGGAGCUCCAGCGGAGGCGCAAAAAACGCACGCGCGGCAUAAGUGGUUCAGCGCGCGGGGCAAAACGGCAUCGCGCGCCGCUUAUUUCCGGCGCCCGCUCCCACGCGCUGCACACUCGAGCGCCCGCGCCGCAUCCUCUUCGGCAGCGCCGCUUUCGCCCCUCCCGCGCCGCCGUCGGCGAAUUUGCUCGAUGGACGGCCGUGCCGACAUCCCCCUCACCCCUUUCUACACCCGCGACCCCUCCGCCGCCGUCGCCACUGGCGGCGGUGCAAACCCUAGCGCGGGGAGCUUUGGCUUCGCCUCCGCCGGUGCUCCUCCAAGCACCGGUCUCGCUGCGGGCUUUUCAUGGCGCCACAGACGACCUAGGCGGCGGGUGGCGUCGCACGGAUGCCCGCCGUGAAGCCACGUGACCUUUUCAUGGUGCCAUUUGUUUGUGUGAACUUUAUGUCAUGAACUUGGUUGGAUGAUUUUGAACUUUGGAUGAUGAUGUGAUGCGGCAUGAUUUUGAACCUUUUAUGUCAUGAACUUGUUUGGGUGAUUUUAAACUAUGCUAUGUCUUGUUUUGAUGUUUGAAAUAUCACCAUAUUGUCUCCAAAAUGAACAUAUUACAAACGCCGGCUGCUCUCGCGCGCUGUAGUUUAGCGCGUCUGCUGGAGCGGCGCGCGCGCAAUUUUUUGCAGCGGCCGCUGAAGCCAGCGCUCCUCGGCGUGCAAAAACUGGCUAUAGAGGCGCUGUAAAUGUUUAUUUAGCACGCCACGUGUUGCACGCAUGCUGGAGAUGCUCAAUGGGAGUAACUUGAGCAAUAACAUUAAGUCCAACUCAGCAAAUUUGCUUAUGUGGCAAUGAGUUAAUGAGGAGAGAGAUAAUUACAGUAACUUAACUAGUUACUGUAACAUCACAUGUCUCAAUGCAAUAUGAAUCUAUAACCUAAUAAAUAAACAUAUGCAUGACACCACAUUUAUGUUACUACCCAUUAUGAAGAUAAUAAUAUAGUCUAGGGAUAUGUGUAUAUUACAUGUUACUCCACCAGGCGGGCGGGGCGGGGGAUCCGGCUGAGAAAGCGAGAAAAUAAAGAAGCGGAAAACCAGGGGAAACAGUGAAGGAAAGCAGUUGUCGCUGGUCAGAGCAGUAAUCGCUCCUAUUUCCACACUACACGAAAUGGGGGCAAAGCACCAGCGCGGCGGAAACAGUACCGCGGCACAGACUGCGCCAUCACCACCAGUCCAUCUCGCCCCAAAGCCCAGAGGCUCCUCCACUCGCCUUUCCCCUCCCCUCCGCCGCCGCCUCCUCUCCCUCGGCGCAGCAUCGCCCCCUCGAUCCCGCGCUCCCCCGGCCAGUUCGCGGUCUCCCGCCGCGAUUCCGCGCGGUGGGACGGCCGAUCCGGCCGGGCCCUGUUCGUGUGGUGUGGGCACGUAGCUCGCUCGGAUUCGCGGGGAGAAUCGGCGGCCGGAUCGUACGAUGGGCAGGUUGGUGGCUUGAGCUUCAGUUAUUGCUAAUUGUGAGUGUGAUUUCGUGGUAGCCGUGUGGGGGCGCUUGUGCUUCCCGGAAUUGCAUGCGGUGCAUGCGUGUCUCGAGGCUUCAGUUUGUGCUCCCGUUCGUGGAAUGUGCGAUCCGGUUCUAGGAGGUCCGAAUUUAGGCCGUUUUUUGUGAGAAUUUUCGCUGGUGGGGUUAGUGCUAGUCUACUGUCUAGUUGAUCGUACAAGUGUUCUAGGUGAUUGUAUAAGUUAGGCCAACAGAAGUAAAAAUGGUAGAGAAGAUUUGAUACGUUUACUGUUUGGAAGAGAAGGGCUAGAAGGACUUAUUUAUCCAAUGUCAUGUUCAUACUUCUGGACCGUGUGGUUAGUUCGAUCACUGGAGGCAAUGUUGCUUAUGGCAUAUACGAUACAGUAAUGUAGGGUUUUCUAUAUUUCAGUGGUUUAAUUCCUGGCAUGCAUCAUUUUUUCUGUAUGACAAUUCAUGAACAGUGAUUUCCAAGUUGAACUAUUGGUGAAUAUUGGGUUCUAUCUCGCUGAUAUGUGCUUGUUUACACCUUCUUUUUACAGUGAUCUUCUACUGGAUAGUGUGGUAUUGUGCUGAAAUCACCGCGGACUCUCUUUUGUGACUGUCUCUGAUACUGAUUGGUGUAUUGGGCCUCUUCUUCUUCAUCAUCAAUGGGCAUUGUGAAGGUUGCAAGUGGUGCGCCUAUAGCGAAGAGUGGUUACAGCCGUGAAAAUGAGGACCUUACACAAGAGGAGAGAUUACUGCUUGAGAGCUUUCCUAGUCAAGGUUCUGCCGAUGACUGCGAACAUGCGGAGGUCGAUUGUGAGCUUGCAAUGUCUGGAGGCCAGUUGUGCAAUGUGCCUUAUGGGCUUUAUGAUCUGCCUGGGUUAAAUGACAUACUGUCUCUGGAGACGUGGAACUCAUGUCUAACAGAAGACGAUAGAUUCCGUCUAGCAGCAUACCUCCCGGACAUGGACCAACAUGACUUCUUUACGACAAUGACGGAGCUCUUGAGUGGCAGUGCUAUGUUCUUUGGGAGUCCACUUAGAGGGUUUUUUGACAGAUUGAACGGUGGAUUUUAUUCUCCAGAAGUUUCUCGGGCACGAGAAUUACUGAUGAACUUUCAGAGACGAAGGUAUUAUCAUUUUCUGAAGUUGUAUCAUGAUGGCAUUGUUUGGAAGUUUGCGUGCAUGGACAAGCUGUGGAGAAGAAAUCUUGUGGAUACUAGUCUUGAGGAGAAGAUUCACAUUUGGCACAACUGGAUACAAGAGAAGCUUCUCACAUUUGCAGAUCCAAACAGUUCUCCUUUGAAUGCAAGACUAUCAAAUAUUGGUGAGGUUGAAGCUGCCAGUUUUGCACCAUUGAAGCGAGCUAAACUUAUAGAAGGGACAUCAAGUACCAAUUGGUCAGCCAAAUACAAGGAGAUAGUCCAUGGAGCAAAAUCAGUGGAAAUUAGCUCAUUGAAUAGUCACAUUUUUCACCUUCGAGAUGUGCCCGGUGAAAAAUGUACCAAACCACCAAAAGUCGUGCUUAAAGCAAAUGCCGACAGUGAUUCCUUUGCUCAUGGCAAUGCAGGAAUACAUCAUACACCAGGACUGAUCCCACUCGCUCAGCUGGGAGUGCAGGUCUCCACCUUUUCUCCUUAUGCUUUUUCACAGCAUGUACAUAAUUUUUCUGUGAAUCCAUCUUAUCCUUUAUACAUAAACACAAGGAGAAGUUCUUUAGGCAGUUCAAGCUCAAAAGCCUGGCAGUCGGAGGGUGCACUAGAAACUUACCCUAUCUUGGUCAAAAGCCCAUUUGGAGUCCAGCAUGCUGUUUUAGAGGAUCUCAAAACAGGCAACCAUUCUGCAGCGUUGAGUGGGUAUCAGUCAGCAGCUAAACCUAUCACAGCAUAUUCAGAUGAAGGAAACGACACAAGAGAAUCCCUCCAUGAGAAGAACCUUUUGAAGAACUUUGGUCGGCCGGGUGCCAUGGUUCCUGAAAGUUCUCCUGGUCUGUAUGUGAGAACCGCCAUUGGCCACGAGACGAACGGAUUGAUGAAAAUGUCCAACCCAGGAAAUGCUGACAUUAUUUCUGAGAUGCUUACCCUUGGUGCAAGCACAAACCCACCUUAUAACUUCCCGAUGCAGUCUGAAACAGUGCUCAAACAGCAUCAUGAUGGACUGAAGACGAAGGCACCUCCUUUCAUGAACUCUGCUACAAGAGUUGAAGGACAUAGAUUCCCUUACACAUACACAAGGAGGAAGCCACACAGGGCGGUCGACCUCGUGGAUCCUGUUGAGACGCCGACCAUGGUGGGUUCAGAGACAGCGAGUGGGCUGGCUAGCAUGGCAAAUGUAAAGGCGAAGGGCAUCAAACUUUGAAGUUUGCGAGCAACAAACAAGGAGAUCUGAUUAUAGAGAUGGGGAGUUGGCUUAGCAUCUAGCUAACAUAGUAAAUAAGGGGAAUGUUUUGCUUUCGGUUGCGAAGUCGAAUUGGCUGAAGCCUCCCUUUGUUACAGUAUCAUUCGGUAUCUCAAUAGAACAAGUAGUUAACAAUCCUGUUAGAUGAAAUAUGCAAAGCAGUCGAGUCUCACACCUAAUUAUUUUCCAAUGACUCUUUGCUGCAAUUAUAUAGUAAAUUCUUACGGGCUUCAGAUUUCUCUGUGAUAUCUAUAUAUUUCUGAUGUAUUAUCUCUGUUCUCAAUUUUCAUUCCGUUCAGUCAACACAGUCUCUAAUAUAUGUCAGCCGUUUAUGUGAAAUGUAAUUGUACUCAACUUUGACGAAAAAUGAAAACUAGCAGCGUAGUUUCUACGUGACGAAGCAAAUUGACAAGUGUGCUAUACUUAAAUACAAUCUAUGUAGGACUGAAUUUUCACAGAUUCAUCGGUUCAGAGUUCGAGAUUUGAAACUUGAAAUUCGUGUUAUCUCUAGCAUCAACCAGAGAGGAUAAUAAAGUAUAAACCAAACCAUGCCACCAUCUUAUAUUACCUUAUCAAUGGAUUAAGGCAUGCCAAAGAAAAAACUUGAAUAAAAUCAUAUUAUAUCCUGAAUUCUUUUUAAGUUGUGAUCCAAAAGGAAGAUGAAGGAACUUCAAAGAACAAUAGGCAUGAGAGGCAUCCGGAAAGCUCAAACCAAAACCUCUUCUAGUGAUAGAAUAGGAACCGAGGUCUUUAGGCUUCCAUCAUUUUCCCGUGCCUACUGCUCUUAGAGCAUCUCUAGCAGACCCUUUAUAUUCGGGCGAACGGUAAAAACCCGCGAUACGGGUUUGUCCCAUUUUUUGGGCCAGACCAGAGCCCGUAUAUUCGCUCAGCCCGUCAAAGAUUUUACAGUGGCCCGCAAACCGCCCCCGCCCACGCGGUAUAUCUACGGGUUUGCCGCGAGUAUACGGGCCGAAACCCUAUCCCUCCGCCGCCGCGAUUCCCCAACCCCUCUUCGAUUUCUCGCCGCCGGUGAGCUUAAAUCCACCGCCCCCGCCCACCGAUCUGCGACGAUGUGGAGCUCUGGCCGGCGCGAUGGCGGCGGCGACCUGGAGCGCAAGCGUUGCAUCACCGUUGACGCAGCGCGCAAGCGCGCGGCCAAGCGCUACACGAACUACGGGUUCUCGGUGCCGGCGUCCCUUCUCCGCUCCGCGCCGUCAAGAUCGAGCCGGGGGAGGAGCGGCCGUGCGGGCGCGGCGUCAUCGGCCCGAAGGACUACCUCGUCGGGCUCGACACGGACGCCUUCGAAGCGGCGCUCAUCGAGCGCACUGUGCUACUUCUUGAGUUUGUGUUGGUUUUUCCCUUGAAGAGGAAAGGGUGAUGCAGCAAAGUAGAGAUAAGUAUUUUCCUCGGUUGAGAACCAAGGUAUCAAUCCAGUAGGAGGAACACACAAGUCACCAAUGGUUGCACCUACACAAACAAACAAAUACUUGCACCCAACGCGAUAAAGGGUUGUCAAUCCUUCACGGCUACUUGCAAGGAUGAGAUCUGAUAGUGAUAGAUAUAAAAGAUAAAUAAAAUGCAAAAUAAGAUAAAAUUGCAGCAAAGUAAUUUUGCAUUUUUGAGUUUAUAGAUCUGAAAAUAAUAUGAUAAAAAUAGACCCGGAGGCCAUAGUUUUCACUAGAGGCGUCUCUCUUGAAAGAAAGCAUACGGUGGGUAAACAAAUUACUGUUGAGCAAUUGAUAGAAAAGCGCAUAGUUAUGACGAUAUCUAAGGCAAUGAUCAUGAAUAUAGGCAUCACGUCCCUGACAAGUAGACCGACUCAUGCCUGCAUCUACUACUAUUACUGCAAACAUUGACCGCUAUCUAGCAUGCAUCUAAUGUAUUAAGUUAACUAGAACGGAGUAACGCCUUAAGCAAGAUGACAUGAUGCAGAGGGAUAGAUCCAAUCAAUAUGAACAAAUCUCAUCUUUUUAUCCUUAAUGGCAACAAUACAAAUACAUGUCAUGUCCCUCUCUGUCACUGGGAAUAAACACCGCAAGAUUGAACCCAUUACAAAGCACCUCUCUCAUUGCAAGAAAAAUCAAUCUAGUUGGCCAAACCAAAUCAAUAGAUCAGAGAGAAAUACAAAUUAUCUUAAUCAUUCAUAAAAGAGUUCAGAGAAGACUCAAAUAAUAUUUAUAGAUAAUCUGAUUAUAAACCCACAAUUCAUCGGAUCUCAACAAACGCACCGCAAAAGAAGAUUACAUCGAAUAGAUAUUCAAGAACAUCGAGGAGAACAUUGUAUUGAAGAUCAAAGAGAGAGAAGAAACCAUCUAGCUACUAGCUAUGGACCCGUAGGUCUGUGGUAAACUACACACACAUCAUCGGAAGGGCAGCAAGGUCGAAUCCCCCUCAGACAGAGUACCGGAAAAGGCCUCCAGAUGGGAUCUCGCGAGAAUAGAAACUUGCGGCGGCGGAAAAGUAUCUUUGGUGUGCCCCAUGGUCUACGGGGAAUAUUUGGGUAUUUAUAGAAGAAGAAUUAGGGUUAGAGGGGCUACGGGGGGCACAAGCUUGGGGGAGCUCCUCCCCUAGGGCGCGCCCUGCAAGCUUGUGGCCAUCCCGUGGCUCCUCUAGCCUCCUCCCAAAGCUUCUAGGGUGUCUUGUGGUCCAAGAAAAAUCGUCAAAAAGUUUCGUUCCAUUUGGACUUCGUUUGGUAUUGAUUUUCUGUAAAGGCAAAAACAAGGAAAAAACAACAACUGACACUUGGCACUAGGUUGAUAGGUUAGUCCCAAAAAUGAUAUAAAAUAACAUAAUAAUGCACAUAAAACAUCCAAGAUUGAUAAUAUAAUAGCGUGAAACAAUAAAAAAUUUACCAAUCACACUGCGCGCGAGCAGGAGGAGGAGGACACGCGUCGCCGGCGGGACGAGGAGCUUAGUGACCUCCUCUUCGAGCAGGCGCUCGCCGCCGCGCGCGAGUUCGACACCAAGAAGGCAGCAUGGCGCCGCAAGCAGGAGGAGCAAGACAAGAAGUACGUCGACCUUGUCUCCUCUUCCGACGAUGAUGAGUGAGCGCCGCCGCCACAGCAUCACCGCCACACCCGAAGAGCUCCGGCGAGCUCCGAUUUUGGCUAGUUUAGGGGUAGGGCGGCAUCGCGAUGUAAAAUAACUUUGGAAAUGUAGCGAUGAUCAAACUAUGAAUGUAGUAUGUGUUCUUCAUUUCGCCCGUGAAUGCUUUCUUUCAAAAUUUAUAGUUUCAAAUACGGGUUUUGUUCGGCCGCAACCGAUUUCACCCCGCAAACAUCUGAUUUCUUGGUCCUUAUCCACGAUAUAAGGACUGCUGAUAUGCGAGGUCUAUUAGAGAUGCUCUUAUGCUUCUUUUCUUAACCUUUUUCUCUCAUAGAGAACAUCUCUUAUCACCUCAAUAUAUGUACAUAUAUUUUAGUUUUUCUGCUAAUUGAUUUAGCAACAAAAAGGAGGAAGAGGAAGGAGCACAUAAGAAUGAUAGGAAUGAGUGACCGGUAAGUUAGGCUUUCCUAUAUCUUCUCAUUCCUACUGCUCUUAUGCCCUCUCUAUCUUACUCUUCCAAGCUCGCAUUUGACUCACAUUGAAUAUGUGCACACAUGUAUGUGUUUUCUAAGUUAAAGCAACCAAGCAAGCCAAAAAAGGAAGAGGAAGGAGUGCUUGAGGACAAAAGGAAUGAGAGGCAUCGGGAAACACCAAAUUGAGUUCUCACCUCCAAUACUAGAGGUGAAAACAAAACAAGUCAUACUUUCCUCCAUGUUUCCAUUCCUACUGCUCUUUUUCUCUCUCUUCUCAACUAGCCUUCAAGAUCUCAGAUUGUCUAAGUAUGUCGCACAAUUCUCAAAAAAACUUAAGAAAUGUACACACAAAUAUGGACUUCUUCAUUAUUAUAUUGUGCAAGCCAAAAAGAAGCAGAUGGGAUGCUCAAGAACAAUAGGAAUGGAAGACAUCAGGAACCUUAAGGGAGUCAAGUAAUGAAGACACUGAGUGCAUCCAACAUCACUAGACAGUCGAUGUCAAUGGGUCCUAUUGUCUUGUACCAUUGAUGCAAAGCAUGUACAUGGAGAUCUUCAGCUUCUAGACAUUCGGGAAGCAAUGCAUUUAUACAGUAGAAGCUUUAAGUCAAAAAAUAGUAUAAACUUGGAAAUUUAAGCCCGCUAACUGAUACGUCCAUUUUGCAUCAUGCUUUUAUAUCGAUAUUUAUUGCAUUAUGGGUUGUUAUUACACGUUACGUCACAAUACUUAUGCCUUUUCUAUCUUAUUUUACAAGGUUUACAUGAAGAGGGAGAAUGCCGACAGCUGGAAUUCUGGGCUGGAAAAGGAGCAAAUAUUAAAGACCUAUUCUGCACAACUCCAAAAGUCCUGAAACUUCACGGAAGUUAUUUUUGGAAUUAAUAAAAAAUACUGAGCAAAGAAAGUACCAGAGGAGGGCCACCGACCAUCCACGAGGGUGGGAGGCGCGCCCCCUGCCUCGUGGGCCCCCUGGCAGGCCUCCGGUGCCCAUCUUCUGCUAUAUGAAGUCUUUUACCCUGGAAAAAUCAUAAGCAAGCUUUCGGGAAGAAACUCCGCCGCCAUGAGGCGGAACCUUGGCGGAACCAAUCUAGGGCUCUAGCGAAGCUGUUCUGCUGGGGAAACUUCCCUCCGGGAGGUGGAAAUCAUCGCCAUCGUCAUCACCAACGAUCCUCUCAUCGGGGGGGGGGGGUCAAUCUCCAUCAACAUCUUCACCAGCACCAUCUCCUCUAAAACCCUAGUUCAUCUCUUGUAUCCAAUCUUUGUCCCAAAGCCUCAGAUUGCUACCUGCGGGUUGCUAGUAGUGUUGAUUACUCCUUGUAGUUGAUGCUAGUUGGUUUAUUUGGUGGAAGAUCAUAUGUUCAGAUCCUUUAUGCAUAUUAAUACCCCUCUGAUUAUGAACAAGAAUAUGAUUUGUGAGUAGUUACGUUUGUUCCUGAGGACAUGGGAGAAGUCUUGCUAUAAGUAGUCAUGUGAAUUUGGUAUUCGUUCGAUAUUUUGAUGAGAUGUAUGUUGUCUCUCCUCUAGUGGUGUUAUGUGAACGUCGACUAGAUGACACUUCACCAUUGUUUGGGCCUAGAGGAAGGCAUUGGGAAGUAAUAAGUAGAUGAUGGGUUGCUAGAGUGACAGAAGCUUAAACCCUAGUUUAUGAGUUGCUUCGUAAGGGGCUAAUUUGGAUCCAUAUGUUCCAUGCUAUGGUUAGGUUUACCUUAAUACUUCUUUUGUAGUUGCGGAUGCUUGCAAUAGGGGUUAAUCAUAAGUGGGAUGCUUGUCCAAGAAAGGACAGCACCCAAGCACCGGUCCACCCACAUACCAAAUUAUCAAAGUAACUAAUGCGAAUCAUAUGAGCGUGAUGAAAACUAGCUUGACGAUAAUUCCCAUGUUUCCUCGGGAGCGUUUUACUUCAUAUAAGAGUUUGUCCAGGCUUGUCCUUUGCUACAAAAAGGAUUGGGCCAUCUUGCUGCACCUUAUUUACUUUCAUUACUUGUUACCCGUUACAAAUUACCUUAUCACAAAACUAUCUGUUACCUAUAAUUUCAGUGCUUGCAGAGAAUACCUUACUGAAAACCGCUUGUCAUUUCCUUCUGCUCCUCGUUGGGUUCGACACUCUUACUUAUCAAAUGGACUACGAUAGAUCCCCUAUAAUUGUGGGUCAUCAAGACUCUUUUCUGGCGCUGUUGCCGGGGAGUGAAGCGCCUUUGGUAGGUGGAAUUUGGUAAGGAAAAAUUUAUAUAGUGUGCUGAAAUUUACUGUCACUUGUUACUAUGGAACAUAAUCCUUUGAGGGGCUUGUUCGGGGUAUCUUCACCCCGACCAGUAGAGCAAAGAGUUGCUCCUCAACCUACUGAAAAUGUUUACUUUGAAAUUCCUUCGGGUAUGAUAGAUAAACUGCUAGCUAAUCCUUUUACAGGAGAUGGAACAUUACAUCCCGAUUUGCACAUAAUCUAUGUGGAUGAAGUUUGUGGAUUAUUUAAGCUUGCAGGUAUGCCCGAGGAUGUUAUCAAGAAGAAGGUCUUCCCUUUAUCUUUGAAGGGAGAGGCAUUGACAUGGUUUAGGCUAUGUGAUGAUGGAUCAUGGAACUACAACCGAUUGAAAUUGGAAUUUCAUCAGAAGUUUUAUCCUAUGCAUCUUGUUCGUCGUGAUCGUAAUUAUAUAUAUAAUUUUUGGCCUCGCGAAGGAGAAAGCAUCGCUCAAGCUUGGGGGAGGCUUAAGUCAAUGUUAUAUUCAUGCCCCAAUCAUGAGCUCUCAAGAGAAAUGAUUAUUCAAAAAUUUUAUGCUCGGCUUUCUCUUAAUAAUCGCUCCAUGCUCGAUACUCCUUGUACUUACUCUUUUAUGAUGAAGACUAUUGAAUUCAAAUGGGAUUUAUUGGAAAUAAUUAAAUGCAACUCUGAAGAUUGGGACCUCGACGAAGGUAAGGAGUCAGGUAUAACACUUAAGUUUGAUUGUAUCAAAUCUUUUAUGGAUACCGAUGUUUUCCGUGAAUUUAGCACUAAAUAUGGACUUGACUCUAAGAUAGUAGCUUCUUUCUGUGAAUCCUUUGCUACUCAUGUUGAUCUCCCUAAGGAGAAGUGGUUUAAAUAUAAUACUCCCAUUGAAGUAAAAGUAGUUGCACCUAUUAAAGUUGAAGAAAAGACUAUCACUUAUAAUGAUCCUGUCGUUCCUACUGCUUAUAUUGAGAAACCACCUUUCCCUGUUAGAAUAAAGGAUCAUGCUAAAGCUUCAACUGUGGUCAACAAAAGUAAUAUUAGGACACCCAAACCCCCUGAGCAAAUUAAAGUUGAACCUAGUAUUGCUAUGGUUAAAGAUCUCUUGGUUGAUAAUAUUGAUGGGCAUGUUAUUUACUUCUGUAAUGAAGCUGCUAGAAUUGCUAGACCUGAUACUAAAAAUAAACAUAGACCUGUUGUAGGCAUGCCUAUUAUUUUUGUUAAAAUAGGAGAUCAUUGUUAUAAUGGAUUAUGUGAUAUGGGUGCUAGUGCAAGUGCAAUACCUCAUUCCUUAUACAAAGAAGUUAUGCAUGAUAUUGCACCUGCUGAGUUGGAGGAAAUUGAUGUUACAAUUAAGCUUGCCAAUAGAGACACUAUUUCACCAGUUGGGAUUGUUAGAGAUGUUGAAGUCUUCUGUGGGAAAUUUGAAUAUCCCGCUGAUUUUCUUGUUCUUGGUUCCCCACAAUGUGACGCCCCCGAUUUGACCGUACACUAAUCAUGCACGCAAAUGUGUACGAUCAAGAUCAGGGACUCACGGGAAGAUAUCACAACACAACUCUACAACAUAAAUAAGUCAUACAAGCAUCAUAAUACAAGCCAGGGGCCUCGAGGGCUCGAAUACAAGUGCUCGAUCAUAGACGAGUCAGCGGAAGCAACAAUAUCUGAGUACAGACAUAAGUUAACAAGUUGCCUUAAGAAGGCUAAUACAAAAGUAACAACGAUCGAAAAGGCAAGGCCUCCUGCCUGGGACCUCCUAACUACUCCUCGAAGCCGAACUCCAUGUAGAAUCAUCCUCGGGAUCUCUAGCUCCUGGACUCCAGCAUCUGGUUGCGACAAUCAGGUAUAGAAAGGGGAAAAGAGGGAGAAAAGCAACCGUGAGUACUCAUCCAAAGUACUCGCAAGCAAGGAGCUACACUACAUAUGCAUGGGUAUAUGUGUAAAGGGCCAUAUUAGUGGACUGAACUGCAGAAUGCCAGAAUAAGGGGGGGAUAGCUAAUCCUGUCGAAGACUACGCUUCUGGCCAUCUCCAUCUUGCAGCAUGUAGAAGAGAGUAGAUUGAAGUCCUCCAAGUAGCAUCGCAUAGCAUAAUCCUACCUGGCGAUCCCCUCCUCGUCGCCCUGUUAGAGAGCGAUCACCGGGUUGUAUCUGGCACUUGGAAGGGUAUGUUUUAUUAAGUAUCCAUUUCUAGUUGUCAUAAGGUCAAGGUACAACUCCGGGUCGUCCUUUUACCGAGGGACACGGCUAUUCGAAUAGAUAAACUUCCCUGCAGGGGUGCACCACAUAACCCAACACGCUCGAUCCCAUUUGGCCGGACACACUUUUCUGGGUCAUGCCCGGCCUCGUAAGAUCAACACGUUGCAGCCCCACCUAGGCUCAACAGAGAGGUCAGCACGCCGGUCUAAACCUAUGCGCGCAGGGGUCUGGGCCCAUCGCACUAUGCACACCUGCACGUUGCGUACGCGGCCGGAAGCAGACCUAGCCCCCUUAAUACAAGCGCGAGCUUACGGUCCAAUGCGGCGCGCGCCACUCAGUUGCUGACGUCAAAAGAGCUUCGGCUGAUACCACGACGUCGGGAUACCCAUAACUACUCCCGCGUAGAUGGUUAGUGCGUAUAGACCAAAUGGCCAGACUCAGAUCAAAUACCAAGAUCCCGUUAAGCGUGUUAAGUAACCACGAACGCCGACCAAGGCCAGGCCCACCUCUCUCCUAGGUGGUCUCAACCUGCCCUGUCGCUCCGCCACAAAGUAACAGUCGGGGGCCGUCAGGAACCCAGGCCCACCUCUACCGGGGUAGAGCCACCUGUCCUUUCAGCCCCCUCAUCAUAAUCACUUGCGGGUACUCCUCGAGUCGACCCGACUUUAGUCACCACAUGUGUCAUGUAUAUAAUGUAUAUAGUAUAUUCCCGUGAUCACCUCCUGAAGUGAUCACGGCCCAGUAGUAUAGCAUGGCAGACGGACAAGAGUGUAGGGCCACUGAUGGAACACUAGCAUCCUAUACUAAGCAGUAGGAUAGCAGGUAAGGGUAACAACUGUAGCAACAAUGACAGGCUAUGCAUCAGGAUAGGAUUACCGGAAAGCAGUAACAUGCUACACUACUCUAAUGCAAGCAGUAUAGGGAAGAAUAGGCGAUAUCUGGUGAUCAAGGGGGGGGCUUGCCUGGUUGCUCUGGCAAGUAGGAGGGGUCAUCAACUCCGUAGUCGAACUGGGCAGCAGCAGUGUCGGUCUCGUAGUCUACCGGAGAGAAGAGGGGGAAGAAACAGUAAAUACAAUGCAAACAUAAACAUGACGAUGCGUGACAUGACAAUGAGCAGUGCGAGGUGUGUCCUCACGCGACAGUAGGUGGUACCGGCGAAGGGGGGAACAUCCGGGAAGUAUUCCCGAUGUUUCGCAUUUUCGGACAGAUGAAACGAAGGGGGAAAGUUGCGUGUUCGAUAGGUUAGGGAGGUGUGGUGGACGAACGGGCUACGUAUUCGGAUUCGCCUCGUCGUUCUGAGCAACUUUCAUGUUGAAAAUAUUUUAAUCCGAGUUACGGAUUAAAAGAUAUGAUUUUCUAAAGAUUUUAUUAAUUUCUGGAAUUUAACUAAUUAUUUAAAUUAAUUUGAAAAUGGAAUUAUGACAUCAGCAUGAUGUCAUGCUGACGUCAGCAGUCAACGUUGACCGUUGACCUGGUCAACCUGACAGGUGGGUCCCACCUGUCAGGGGCAGUUACCUAAUUAACUACUGUUUAGUUAAUUAAUUAUCUAAUUAGAUUAAUUUAAACAGGAUUAAUUAACUUAAUUAAUUUAGUUAAUUANNNNNNNNNNNNNNNNNNNNNNNNNNNNNNNNNNNNNNNNNNNNNNNNNNNNNNNNNNNNNNNNNNNNNNNNNNNNNNNNNNNNNNNNNNNNNNNNNNNNNNNNNNNNNNNNNNNNNNNNNNNNNNNNNNNNNNNNNNNNNNNNNNNNNNNNNNNNNNNNNNNNNNNNNNNNNNNNNNNNNNNNNNNNNNNNNNNNNNNNNNNNNNNNNNNNNNNNNNNNNNNNNNNNNNNNNNNNNNNNNNNNNNNNNNNNNNNNNNNNNNNNNNNNNNNNNNNNNNNNNNNNNNNNNNNNNNNNNNNNNNNNNNNNNNNNNNNNNNNNNNNNNNNNNNNNNNNUCAAUGGCCCUAGGAGCCUAACGGGCGAAUGGGUUACGGGCAUGGGGGCGCUGGCGAAACGGGGCGGAGCCCCAGGGUGCGGGCGUAACCCGCCGAGGUGACGCAGCAGAGCCGGGCGCGGGCGCCAGCGGCCAGGGGCCGCGACGGCGACCGGAGCAGGGCUGGGGCGGCGACCGGAGCAGCAGAGGGUAGCAUCAGCGGGUGGCGGCUGUAUCGAGUGGUGGGAGCAGGGGCGCAGGUCGCCGGAGCCAGAGGGAGCGGGUGCGCCGGCAAGGCGACGACCAACGCGCGAGGCUUGGAGUCUGAGGCGCGGCUGACGCGCACGGGCGCGGCCGACGCGCGCGGGCACGGCCAGGGGCGGCUCGGUGAGCGCGAGGUCGUCACGAGCUUCGGGCGCGAGCGGGACAACGCAAAUCGAUGGUGGGAUCGACGGGGAAGAGGGGAACGGACAUGGCUCACUGGGAGGAGGUCGAUGGAGAGCUCGGGACGGUCGGAGUGGCGUCGGAGAGGUGGGCCAACGCGGUGGUGGUCGUGGCCGAGGCGGACGGGGACGACCGGCGAAGGAGAGGCGGGGACGGGGAGUCCGGCUGGGGAAGAGUUGGGGNNNNNNNNNNNNNNNNNNNNNNNNNNNNNNNNNNNNNNNNNNNNNNNNNNNNNNNNNNNNNNNNNNNNNNNNNNNNNNNNNNNNNNNNNNNNNNNNNNNNNNNNNNNNNNNNNNNNNNNNNNNNNNNNNNNNNNNNNNNNNNNNNNNNNNNNNNNNNNNNNNNNNNNNNNNNNNNNNNNNNNNNNNNNNNNNNNNNNNNNNNNNNNNNNNNNNNNNNNNNNNNNNNNNNNNNNNNNNNNNNNNNNNNNNNNNNNNNNNNNNNNNNNNNNNNNNNNNNNNNNNNNNNNNNNNNNNNNNNNNNNNNNNNNNNNNNNNNNNNNNNNNNNNNNNNNNNNNNNNNNNNNNNNNNNNNNNNNNNNNNNNNNNNNNNNNNNNNNNNNNNNNNNNNNNNNNNNNNNNNNNNNNNNNNNNNNNNNNNNNNNNNNNNNNNNNNNNNNNNNNNNNNNUUUUGCUUUGUUUUGUUUUUUUUACUUUUUCUUAUUUUUCUUAUUUUUUGUUUUCUUUUAGUUCCUCUUUUAUUUUAGUUUUAUAAAAAUUAUCACUAGCACUUAAAUUAAUACUUUUAAAUAUACUAUUGCCACAUUAAUCCCCAACUCAAAUUAAAAUAGUUUAAUAUUUUAUAAAAUUCACAAGGCAUUUAUCUUAAUAUUUAAACCUCUAUUUUAAUUAUUUUGAACACUUAAACAUUUCAUUAAAGUUAGGUUUCUCCACCAUUAUUAUCUAUGCAAUAUUUGGUUCACUCCGAACAUUUUAGUUUUAAUAUUUGAAAACGUUUAUUGUUUGCUUGAUUUUGAACUUUGAAUUUGGACCGGUUUUGAUCUAACGAUAGAUUAGCAACAGUAACGGAGGUAACGUGGCACCAUUAGCAGAGUUUUACUGUAGCUUGAUUAUCCGGGCGUCACAAUUCUCCUCCACUACAAGAAAUCUCGUCCCGAGAUUUAGGAGCGGUUAUAAGGGGGAAGGGAUCUGGUUACGAAAUUCUAACGAUUCUUCUCGGUCAUAGUUGCUCUUCUCGAAGAGGCCGAUCCAUUACGUUGAUGUCUUCAGUCCUCUGCUUCAGGUCAUCAAGAUGAAGUUUGUCGUCCUUCCUACAUGAUCUUCACCGUACUUACGAAAGGGUGAGCAGGGAAAACUUUUCAUUGGAAUAGCUUAUUCCCUAUAAGGACGGAUUCUAACAAGAUCGAGCAUCAAGCGGUUAACCCAGGGGAAGAAGCAUAAGUAUCUCUCGAAUUGAAACCUAAGAAGAUGUCGAGAGCAAAGUAAGAAGGUACCAUGAGCAGUUUCAAACCGAUAGGCAAGCGUUCGAUGCCUAUCAGAAGGUGAAAGGGGUUCAGAGCAACGAGAAUAAGUAUUGCGCCUGAUACCCGAAUAGAUCACUUGGCAGGUGGCCCGUGAGUUACAUAAGAAGUCAAGCGCGAGGAAUAACUUUGGAAACCGGGGGUGUACAGGAGAGUCAGGUUUCGAUCCUGUGGAACUGUGGGUUAUGGGCCCACCAUGUGGUUUUUUUUAUAGGAGCAGUGACAUCUUGCACGGUCAUGAUAGCAAGGCAUGUCAGGGAACACCCUGUCAGUUAUGUCGGCAACACGUUGGUACCAAGGGCGAGGGACGAAGAGAACCAUUUUCCUGCUCGUUCAAACGAGGCGGACCAUUAGGCAAAGUUCUCGUCCAUCGGUGGUUACCGAAAUGUCACCAACAAUAGUAACAGGGUCUUACUGACAGAGUUGUACACCGAGGUGUUUACAUAAGCAGGAGAAUAUUACUGCUUAGAUCAUAUAGAUCACCAGAAAGGUUAAACCAAACAAUGGAAAGGAAAAUAUGAUUAUCAGAUUAAACAGAAGAAUGGAAAGGAAAAUGUGUUUAAACACAUAUUUCAGGGGUAUAUCCUUCCCAAGGACAAGCAGCGUAUCAUAUCCAUGACAGGAUAGAAAGUAGAAAACCAUUUAGGUAAGGGGAGAGGAAUUUCAUGACAUCACCCAUACAACGGUGUUUGGAUAAUUGAGCAAGAAACAUUUAGUAUUGGGCUUCAAAUGUUCUUGUUGAAAAUCGGAGUACCAUAGACAUGCUUUGAGAUAGCAUUGACAUGGUCAACAGGUGAAGAUCAGAAUUUGGAAACAAAAAGGAUCCAUCAGGAACAACUUAUAGAAUAAGUCUUACAAUUUCCUCAUGGAAGAAUAGAUAACCUUGCUGAAAGGAAAGCUUAUAACAAUAGGUCCUCCGGCCAGGUGUGUUCGGCAUGUCAUCCCUUACCGGGUCAUAAAUAGGCCAAUGUUAUAACUCUUGGAAAUAUGUUCCAACCAUCAUAUCUGACCGAGAUUCAGAUUUGAUUGGUGUCAGGAUAACUCAGACUUAGGAUGCCUGAGAAGAAAAGGUGCGACACAAUUUGAAGAGAUGACAUUGUAAGAUUCUCGGGAAAUGAACUAUGGAAGCGAGUUCCGAAAUAAGAGUUCAUCAUUAAACCAAGGAGAGGGUUAGGAGGUGGCUGAUGGACUCAGCGACAUUCCAUUGAGAUUUCCAAAAGAUGGAUUUCCACAACUAUGUGAACAAGGAGAUAACAUUAGCUAGAUCGAAUGACUUAAUGAUGUAUGCUCGAGGAAAACAUACACAAUUAAACAUUGGUUGAAAGGUGCACCCGAAUAUGGGCUUAGGUAGCAUGAUCAAGGUUAGAAUGGUGAUUCGAUAACCAAUACACAAGGAAUGAACUAUCGUUCAUUAACUUACAAGCGAUAGGGUUGCUGGAAGUUUUGAAUUUUACACAUCACAGUUCAUUUGUGGGUACUUCGGUUAGAAACAACACGGGGACCAAGACAAGAGUGGUGAUGUUAACUAAGUAUCACAUGUAUCAAGAAUUCUUAAGGGUGAUGAAUUUCCCAUGACAUUCUUGACAUAAAAGAUAGCAAUACUCCAAGGUAGAACAUAACAUAAGUUGGAUAACAAGGAUCUCAAGGUACAACACAAAACAUGAACAAGUUUGUAUUGAAGGGAAAGCAAGAAUGUUGCCGAUGAUAACACAAAUCAUCGAGGGGCAAGGAUGGUAUUUCUCAUCAUGAAUUCAAUUGAUAUCCUGGAGGAACUCAGAAUGCUGAUGAUGAUCAUGACAAUUUUUGUCGAGAGGUUUCAUGGAGAUGUAAUCGACCGACGAUGACAUCAAGUCAAAGGAAUGAUGAAAGCGAAAGGUUAUUGGAACCACGGUUAGGACACAAACUCAGAAUCAAGUUUGCUGUUCAAGGAGAAGUGAUAUGACGAGGAAGAUCGACGUAAGCUUAGCUCAUCGUCGAAAGCUGUGCUCUGGGAAUAAGGACCAGGUAGCACAGUUAAAAUCACCAAGAUAAUGAUAUAGCCAAACAAGCUAGGAAUGGCGUGAUCGGGUACAAACUCAUACUUAAAGAAGAUUACUAAGAGUUGUUGAACCGUAGUGCGGACUCGGUUCAGUUAUCGGUGUCUUUGCGUGAUUAAUAACUCAGGGCCCGUGGAAAAUUGGAAUCAGUGAGAAUGUAGCAGUUGAUGAAGAACUCAUAAGAAGUUAUGCAGUUCCAUGUUAAUCUCGAGAUACCAGGGGGUAAUACUCGACGACAGAUCAAGGUAGAGGUUGGACUAGGGUAUUGCUCUGCAGAAGACAAGUGCUCAACUUGUACGAGAAAUGGUAUUUAAAGGAGAACAUAGUCGGAACCACGAUUGCAAAAGGCCAGAUCCCAGAUAUAAGAUGAACUUAUACCAAGGGAAUAAUUAAUUUAAGAGAAGCUUUAAUGAUAAGAGCUACAUCGACUCCAUGGGCAUGAACACUACUAUCAGUGUCCGUCUUCCUCUUGAAGAUCCAUUUAUUUCCUAUGACUUGCCGAUCACCGGGCAAGUCAACCAAAGUCCACACUUUGUUCUCAUACAUGGAUCCCAUCUCAGAUUUCAUGGCCUCAAGCCAUUUUGCGGAAUCUGGGCUCAUCAUCGCUUGCUCAUAGUUCGUAGGUUCGUCAUGGUCAAGUAACAUGACCUCCAGAACUGGAUUACCGUACCACUCUGGUGCGAAUUUCAUUCUGGUUGACCUACGAGGUUUGGUAGUAACUUGAUCUGAAGUUACAUGAUCAUCAUCAUUAGCUUCCUCACUAAUUGGUGUAGGAGUCACAGGAACAGAUUUCUGUGAUGAACUACUUUCCAAUAAGGGAGCAGGUACAGUUACCUCAUCAAGUUCUACUUUCCUCCCACUCACUUCUUUCGAGAGAAACUCCUUCUCUAGAAAGGAUCCAUUCUUAGCAACGAAUAUCUUGCCUUCGGAUUUGUGAUAGAAGGUGUACCCAACUGUCUCCUUUGGGUAUCCUAUGAAGACACAUUUCUCCGAUUUGGGUUUGAGCUUAUCAGGAUGAAACUUUUUCACAUAAGCAUCAAACUUUAAGAAACGAUAGCUUAGGUUUCUCGCCAAACCACAGUUCAUACAAUGUCAUCUCCACGGAUUUAGAUGGUGCCCUAUUUAACGUGAACGUAGCUGUCUCUAAUGCAUAACCCCAAAACGAUAGUGGUAGAUCGGUAAGAGACAUCAUAGAUCGCACCAUAUCUAAUAAAGUACGGUUACGAUGUUCUGACACACCAUUACACUGUGGUGUUCCAGGUGGCGUGAGUAGUGAAACUAUUUCACAUUGUUUUAACUGAAGGCCAAACUCGUUAACUCAAAUAUUUUACCUCUGCGAUCAUAUCGUAGAAACUUUUAUUUUCUUGUUACGAUGAUUCUCCACUUCACUCUGAAAUUCUUUGAACUUUUCAAAUGUUUCAGAGUGUUUCAUCAAGUAGAUAUACCUAUAUCUGCUCAAAUCACCUGUGAAGGUCAGAAAAUAACGAUACUUGCCGCGAGCCUUAACACUCAUCGGACUGGAUACAUCAGUAUGUAUUAUUUCCAAUAAGUCAGUUGCUCGCUCCAUUGUUCCGGAGAACGGCGUUUUAGUCAUCUUGCCCAUGAGGCAUGGUUCGUAAGCAUCAAGUGAUUCAUAAUCAAGUGAUUCCAAAAAUCCAUCAGCAUGGAGUUUCUUCACGCGCUUUACACUAAUAUGACCUAAACGGCAGUGCCACAAACAAGUUGCACUAUCAUUAUUAACUUUGCAUCUUUUGGCUUCAAUAUUAUGAAUAUGUGUAUCACUACGAUUGAGAUCCAACGAACCAUUUUCAUUGGGUGUGUAACCAUAGAAGGUUUUAUUCAUGUAAACAGAACAACAAUUAUUCUCUAACUUACAUGAAUAACCGUAUUGCAAUAAACAUGAUCAAAUCAUAUUCAUGCUCAACGCAAACACCAAAUAACAUUUAUUUAGGUUCAACACUAAUCCCGAAAGUAUAGGGAGUGUGCGAUGAUGAUCAUAUCAAUCUUGGAACUGCUUUCAACACACAUCGUCACUUCACCCUUAACUACUUUCUGUUCAUUCUGCAACUCCCGUUUCGAGUUACUACUCUUAGCAACUGAACCAGUAUCAAAUACCGAGGGGUUGCUAUAAACACUAGUAAAGUACACAUCAAUAACAUGUAUAUCAAAUAUACUUUUGUUCACUUUGCCAUCCUUCUUAUCCGCCAAAUACUUGGGGUAGUCCCGCUUCCAGUGACCAGUCCCUUUGUAGUAGAAGCACUUAGUCUCAAGCUUAGGUCCAGACUUGGGUUUUUCACUUGAGCAGCAACUUGCCUGCCGUUCUUCUUGAAGUUCCCCAUCUUCCCUUUGCCCUUUUUUUGAAACUAGUGAUCUUGUCAACCAUCAACACUUUGAUGUUUUUCUUUGAUUUCUACCUUCGCCGAUUUUAGCAUCGCGAAGAGCUUGGGAAUUGUUUUCAUCAUCCCUUGCAUAUUAUAGUUCAUCACGAAGUUCUAGUAACUUGGUGAUAGUGACUAGAGAACUUUGUCAAUUACUAUCUUAUUUGGAAGAUUAAAUCCCACUUGAUUCAAGCAAUUGUAGUACUCAGACAAUCUGAGCACAUGCUCACUGGUUGAGCUAUUCUCCUCCAUCUUGUAGGCAAAGUAGAGGUCUGAUACCUCUCGACACGGGCAUGAGUAUGAAAUACCAAUUUCAACUCUUGGAACAUCUUAUAUGCCCCGUGGCGUUCAAAACAUUUUUGAAGUCCCGGUUCUAAGCCGUAAAGCAUGGUGCACUUAACUAUCAAGUAGUCAUCAUGCCGAGCUUUUGUCAAAACGUUCAUAAUGUCUGUAUCUGCUCCUGUAAUAGGUCUGUCACCUAGCGGUGCAUCAAGGACAUAAUUCUUCUGUGCAGCAAAGAGGAUAAACCUCGGAUCACGGAUCCAAUCCGCAUCAUUGCUACUAACAUCUUUCAACUUAGUUUUCUCUAGGAACAUAUAAAAAUUAAACGGGGAGCAACAUCGCGAGCUAUUGAUCUACAACAUAGAUAUGCUAAUACUACCAGGACUAAGUUCAUGAUAAAUUAAAGUUCAAUUAAUCAUAUUACUUAAGAACUCCCACUUAGAUAGACAUCCCUCUAAUCCUCUAAGUGAUCACGUGAUCCAUAUCAACUAAACCAUGUCCGAUCAUCACGUGAGAUGGAGUAGUUUCAACGGUGAACAUCACUAUGUUGAUCAUAUCUACUAUAUGAUUCACGCUCGACCUUUCGGUCUCCGUGUUCCGAGGCCAUAUCUGUUAUAUGCUAGGCUCGUCAAGCUUAACCUGAGUAUUCCGCGUGUGCAACUGUUUUGCACCCGUUGUAUUUGAACGUAGAGCCUAUCACACCCGAUCAUCAUGUGGUGUCUCAGCACGAAGAACUUUCACAACGGUGCAUACUCAGGGAGAACACUUAUACGUUGAUAAUUUAGUGAGGGAUCAUCUUAUAAUGCUACCGUCAAUCAAAGAAAGAUAAGAUGCAUAAAAGAUAAACAUCACAUGCAAUCAAUAUAAGUGAUAUGAUAUGGCCAUCAUCAUCUUGUGCUUGUGAUCUCCAUCUCCGAAGCACCGUCAUGAUCACCAUCGUCACCGGCGCGACACAUUGAUCUCCAUCGUAGCAUCGUUGUUGUCUCGCCAAUCUUAUGCUUCUACGACUAUCGCUAUCGCUUAGUGAUAAAGUAAAGCAUUACAGGGCGAUUGCAUUGCAUACAAUAAAGCGACAACCAUAUGGCUCCUGCCAGUUGCCGAUAACUCGAUUACAAAACAUGAUCAUCUCAUACAAUAAAUUCAGCAUCAUGUCUUGACCAUAUCACAUCACAACAUGCCCUGCAAAAACAAGUUAGACGUCCUCUAUUUUGUUGUUGCAAGUUUUACGUGGCAGCUACGGGCUGAGCAAGAACCGUUCUUACCUACGCAUCAAAACCACAACGAUAGUUUGUCAAGUUGGUGUUGUUUUAACCUUCGCAAGGACCGGGCGUAGCCACACUCGGUUCAACUAAAGUUGGAGAAACUGACACCCGCUAGUCACCUGUGUGCAUAGCACGGCGGUAAAACCAGUCUCGCAUGAGCGUACGCGUAAUGUCGGUCCGGGCCGCUUCAUCCAACAAUACCGCCGAACCAAAGUGUGACAUGCUGGUAAGCAGUAUGACUUAUAUCGCCCACAACUCACUUGUGUUUUACUCGUGCGUAUGACAUCUACGCAUAAAACCAGGCUCGGAUGCCACUGUUGGGGAACGUAGUAAUUUCAAAAAAAUUCUACGCACACGCAAGAUCAUGGUGAUGCAUAGCAACGAGAGGGGAGAGUGUUGUCCACGUACCCUCGUAGACCGAAAGCGGAAGCGUUAGCACAACACGGUUGAUGUAGUCGUACGUCUUCACGAUCCGACCGAUCAAGUACCGAACGCACGGCACCUCCGGGUUCAGCACAUGUUCAGCCCGAUGACGUCCCUUGAACUCCGAUCCAGCCGAGUGUUGAGGGAGAGUUUCGUCAGCACGACGGCGUGGUGACGAUGAUGAUGUUCUACCGACGCAGGGCUUCGCCUAAGCACCGCUACAGUAUUAUUGAGGUGGACUAUGAUGGAGGGGGCACCGCACACGGCUAAAAGAUCAAACGAUCAAUUGUUGUGUCUUUGGGGUGCCCCCCUGCCCCCGUAUAUAAAGGAGCAAGGGGGGAGGCGGCCGGCCUAGGAGGAGGGCGCGCCAAGGGGGGAGUCCUACUCCCACCGGGAGUAGGACUCCUCCUUUCCUUGUUGGAGUAGGAGAAGGGAAGGGAGAAGGAGAAGGAAGGAAGGGGGCGCCCCCCUCCCUAGUCCAAUUCGGACUAGUCCAUGGGGAGGGGUGCGGCCACCCUUUGGGGCCUUUCUCUCCUUUCCCGUAUGGCCCAUUAAGGCCCAAUACGAAUUCCCGUAACUCUCCGAUACUCCGAAAAAUGUCCGAAUCACUCGGAACCUUUCCGAUGUCCGAAUAUAGUCGUCCAAUAUAUCGAUCUUUACGUCUCGACCAUUUCGUGACUCCUCGUCAUGUCCCUGAUCUCAUCCGGGACUCCGAACUCCUUCGGUACAUCAAAACACAUAAACUCAUAAUAUAACCGUCAUCUAAUUUUAAGCGUGCGGACCCUACGGGUUUGAGAACUAUGUAGACAUGACCGAGACACGUCUCCGGUCAAUAACCAAUAGCGGAACCUGGAUGCUCAUAUUGGCUCCCACAUAUUCUACGAAGAUCUUUAUUGGUCAGACCGUAUAACAACAUACGUUGUUCCCUUUGUCAUCGGUAUGUUACUUGCCCGAGAUUCGAUCGUCGGUAUCUCAAUACCUAGUUCAAUCUCGUUACCGGCAAGUCUCUUUACUCGUUCCGUAAUACAUCAUCCCGCAACUAACUCAUUAGUUGCAAUGCUUGCAAGGCUUAAGUGAUGUGCAUUACCGAGUGGGCCCAGAGAUACCUCUCCGACAAUCGGAGUGACAAAUCCUAAUCUCGAAAUAUGCCAACCCAACAAGUACCUUCGGAGACACCUGUAGAGCACCUUUAUAAUCACCCAGUUACGUUGUGACGUUUGGUAGCACACAAAGUGUUCCUCCGGUAAACGGGAGUUGCAUAAUCUCAUAGUCAUAGGAACAUGUAUAAGUCAUGAAGAAAGCAAUAGCAGAAUACUAAACGAUCGUGUGCUAAGCUAACGGAAUGGGUCAAGUCAAUCACAUCAUUCUCCUAAUGAUAUGAUCCCGUUAAUCAAAUGACAACUCAUGUCUAUGGCUAGGAAACAUAACCAUCUUUGAUCAACGAGCUAGUCAAGUAGAGGCAUACUAGUGACACUCUGUUUGUCUAUGUAUUCACACAUGUAUCAUGUUUCCGGUUAAUACAAUUCUAGCAUGAAUAAUAAACAUUUAUCAUGAUAUAAGGAAAUAAAUAAUAACUUUAUUAUUGCCUCUAGGGCAUAUUUCCUUCAGUUGAUCACCAACGACGGUUAAAUCGUAAGAUGAAAGAGGUGGUAAGAAAAGAAAUACUAAAGCUUCUGGAGGCAGGUAUAAUUUAUCCCAUUACUGAUAGUCAGUGGGUAAGUCCUGUCCAUUGUGUCCCUAAGAAGGGAGGUAUUGUUGUUGUUCCUAAUGAUAAAAAUGAAUUGAUCCCACAAAGAAUUAUUACAGGUUAUAGAAUGGUAAUUGAUUUCCGCAAACUAAGUAAAGCUACUAAAAAGGAUCAUUACCCUUUACCCUUUAUUGAUCAAAUGCUAGAAAGAUUAUCCAAACAUACACAUUUUUGCUUUCUAGAUGGUUAUUCUGGUUUCUCUCAAAUACCUGUGUCAAAAGAGGAUCAAGAAAAGACCACUUUUACUUGCCCUUUCGGUACCUUUUCUUAUAGACGUAUGCCUUUUGGUUUAUGUAACGCACCUGCUACCUUUCAAAGAUGCAUGAUGGCUAUAUUCUCUGAUUUUUGUGAAAAGAUUGUUGAGGUUUUCAUGGAUGAUUUCUCCGUAUAUGGAACUUCUUUUGAUGAUUGCUUGAGCAACCUUGAUUGAGUUUUGCAGAGAUGUGAAGAAACUAACCUUGUUUUGAACUGGGAGAAGUGCCACUUUAUGGUUAAUGAAGGUAUUGUCUUGGGGCAUAAAAUUUCUGAAAGAGGUAUUGAAGUUGAUAAAGCUAAAGUUGAUGCUAUUGAAAAGAUGCCGUGUCCCAAGGACAUUAAAGGUAUAAGAAGUUUCCUUGGUCAUGUCGGUCUUUAUAUGAGGUUCAUUAAGGACUUACUCUAAAAUUUCUAGGCCUCUCACUAAUCUCUUACAAAAAGAUAUUCCUUUUGUCUUUGAUGAUGAUUGUGUAGAAGCAUUUGAAAUACUUAAGAAAGCAUUGAUUUCUGCACUUAUUGUUCAGCCACCUGAUUGGAAUUUACCCUUUGAAAUUAUGUGUGAUGCUAGUGAUUAUGCUGUAGGUGUUGUUCUAGGACAAAGAGUUGAUAAGAAAUUAAAUGUUAUCCAAUAUGCUAGUAAAACUCUAGACAAUGCCCAGAGAAAUUAUGCUACUACUGAAAAGGAAUUUUUAGCAGUUCUAUUUGCUUGUGAUAAGUUUAGACCUUAUAUUGUUGAUUCUAAAGUAACUGUUCACACUGAUCAUGCUGCUAUUAAAUAUCUCACGGAAAAGAAAGAUGCUAAACCUAGACUUAUUAGAUGGGUUCUCUUGCUACAAGAAUUUGAUUUACAUAUUAUUGAUAGAAAGGGAGCUGAGAACCCCGUUGCAGACAACUUGUCUAGGUUAGAGAAUGUUCUUGAUGACCCACUACCUAUUGAUGAUAGCUUUCCUGAUGAACAAUUAGCUGUCAUAAAUGCUUCUCGUACUGCUCCAUGGUAUGCUGAUUAUGCUAAUUAUAUUGUUGCUAAAUUUAUACGACCUAGUUUCACAUACCAGCAAAAGAAAAAGUUUUUCUAUGAUUUAAGACAUUACUUCUGGGAUGACCCACACCUUUAUAAAGAAGGAGUAGAUGGUGUUAUUAGACGUUGUAUACCUGAGCAUGAACAGGAACAGAUCCUACGCAAGUGUCACUCCGAAGCUUAUGGAGGACACCACGCUGGAGAUAGAACUGCACAUAAGGUAUUGCAAUCCGGUUUUUAUUGGCCUACUCUCUUCAAAGAUGCGCGUAAGUUUGUCUUGUCUUGUGACGAAUGUCAAAGAAUUGUAAUAUUAGUAGACGUCAAGAAAUGCCUAUGAAUUAUUCACUUGUUAUUGAACCAUUUGAUGUUUGGGGCCUUGAUUAUAUGGGACCGUUUCCUUCCUCUAACGGGUAUACACAUAUUUUAGUUGUUGUUGAUUACGUUACUAAGUGGGUAGACGCUAUUCCAACUAGUAGUGCUGAUCAGAACACCUCUAUUAAGAUGCUUAAAGAAGUUAUUUUUCCGAGUUUUGGAGUCCCUAGAUAUUUAAUGACUGAUGGUGGUUCACAUUUUAUUCAUGGUGCUUUCCGUAAAAUGCUUGCUAAGUAUGAUGUUAAUCAUAGAAUUGCAUCUCCAUAUCACUCACAGUCUAGUGGUCAAGUAGAACUUAGUAAUAGAGAGCUCAAAUUAAUUUUACAAAAGACUGUUAAUAGAUCUAGAAAGAAUUGGUCCAAGAAACAUGAUGAUGCAUUAUGGGCUUAUAGAACUGCAUAUAAAAAUCAUAUGGGUAUGUCUCCAUAUAAAAUGGUUUAUGGAAAAGCAUGCCACUUACCUCUCGAACUAGAACAUAAGGCAUAUUGGGCCAUUAAAGAGCUCAAUUAUGAUUUCAAACUUGCCGGUGAGAAGAGGCUAUUUGACAUUAGCUCACUUGAUGAAUGGAGAACCCAAGCCUAUGAGAAUGCCAAACUGUUUAAAGAAAAAGUUAAAAGAUGGCAUGACAAAAGGAUACAAAAGCGUGAGUUUAAUGUAGGUGAUUAUGUGUUGCUAUUCAACUCUCGUUUAAGAUUUUUUGCAGGAAAACUUCUCUCCAAAUGGGAAGGUCCUUACGUUACCGAGGAGGUCUAUCAUUCCGGUGCCAUAAAAAUCAACAACUUUGAAAGCACAAAUCCGAAGGUGGUGAACGGUCAAAGAAUCAAACAUUAUAUCGCAGGUAAUCCUAUAAAUGUUGAAACUAAUGUUAUUGAAACCGUAACCCCGGAUGAAUACAUAAGGGACACUUUCCAGAACGUUUCACACUCCGAAAAGGAAUAUGUAUGUGGUACGGUAAGUAAACCGACUCCAAAACAGUUCUAAUGGCAAUUUUUCUCCGUUUUGGAAUAUUUAAGAAAAUAGGAAAAUAAGAAGUAGUCUGAAAGGGACACGAGGCAGCCACGAGGGUGGAGGGCGCGCCCUACCCCCUGGGCGCGCCCCCUGCCUCGUGGGCACCUCGUGUGCCCUAUGGACUCCGUUUUCUUGCACGAUACUUCUUUUGGUCGGUAAAAAUUCAUUAUAAAAUCUCCCGAAGGUUUUGACAACUGUAGCACGCAAAUAUCCUCUGUUUUUGUUUCGAGCUGUUUUUCUGACAGAUCUAGAUCACCAUGACGUCUCCAAGUGCCCCCAAGGACAAGUUCUUCGAGAAGGAUAUCAAUCCCUACCUCGCGGAGGUGCUGCAACACCCUCAAACCAUUGAGAUGCGUGAUGGGUUGCUGCACAUCCGCGAUGUCGAGGGACCAAGGAGGACCGGAAGCGUGGAGACAAGACUCGAAGCAAUGGAGCAACAAGUUUUCAAGUGCCAAGGGAUGGUGGAACGCGGACUCAACGCCAACCACAUGGUGAUCGCGGAGUUCACCAACAACCACAAGCUAGAUGCCAAGAACAUUGGGGAGACCAUCUUCAAGCUUCACGAGAAAAUCGAGCGCGUCCAAGCCCAGAUCUAUGACCUGCAAAACCAAAACUGUGAGUAUGAAUAUAGAUUCAAGAGGAUGAGUUUGGCUGCAGAUUUGAGGAUUCCAGAGACUCAAUCAUCCUUCUAUGAUGGUGAGCCUAUGCCUUGGAAGAUGGAUGACAAACCUACAUCAUCAACAACUCCAUCAUCACCACCCCCGAGGAAAGAGACAUAAUCACAUUGGUAUGGGCACUCCCCUUGGCAACUGCCAAGCUUGGGGGAGGUGCCCCGGUAUCAUAUCACCAUCACACUCCUAUGUUUACCGUUUUUCUUAGUUCGAUCCCUUUAGUAAUAUCUUGACCUAGUAGAAUAAAGUUUUAGUAUGAUCUAGUUUUGAGUUUUGCUUUAUGAUCCCUCUAUGUAAUCGAGUAUGUGAGCUAUAUAUAAUAAAGAUUAGUGUUGAGUCAAGGGCUUGAUUAUCUUGCUAUGAUCGUGAGGGAAUUAAAAAGAAAAGAGAAAGAAUAAAAAGAAGUAAAGAGAUCAUAUUGAUCUUAUGGAGAGUAAUGACUUCACAUAUAAAGAGUAUGAUGAAUAAAAGUUGUUGAGAGUUGACAAACAUAGUUUUGGUCACCGUUGCAAUUAAUAGGAAGUAAUAAAGAAAGAGAGGUUCUCACAUAUAAAUAUACUAUCUUGGACAUCUUUUAUGAUUGUGAGCACUCAUUAAAAUAUGACAUGUUAAAGAGUUGAUGUUGGACAAGGAAGACAACGUAAUGGGUUAUGUUUUCUUAUACCCGAAAUAAAGUAUAUUGUCAUGGAUCAUCCAACAUGUUGAGCUUGCCUUUCUCCCUCAUGCUAGCCAAAUUCUUUGCACCAAGUAGAGAUACUACUUGUGCUUCCAAAUAUCCUUAAACCCGGUUUUGUCAUGAGAGUCCACCAUAUCUACCUAUGGAUUGAGUAAGAUCCUUCAAGUAAGUUGUCAUGUUGCAUGCAAUAAAAAUUUCUCUCUAAAUACGUAUGAUUUAUUAGUGUGGAGAAAAUAAGCUUUAUACGAUCUUGUGAUGUGGAAGCAAUAAAAGCGACGGACUGCAAAAUAAAGGUCCAUAUCACAAGUGGCAAUAUAAAGUGACGUUCUUUUGCAUUAAGAUUUCAUGCAUCCAACCAUAAAAGCACAUGACAACCUCUGCUUCCCUCUGCGAAGGGCCUAUCUUUUACUUUUGUCCUAUACCUUAUGCAAGAGUCAUGGUGAUCUUCACCUUUCCUUUUUACAUUGUAUCCUUUGGCAAGCACCUUGUGUUGGAAAGAUCCUAAUAUAUAUAUCCAAUUGGAUGUAAGUUAGCAUGAAUUAUUAUUGUUGACAUUACCCUUGAGGUAAAAGGUUGGGAGGCAACACUAUAAGCCCCUAUCUUUCUCUGUGUCCGAUUAAAACUCCAUACCCAUAAGUAUUGCCUGAGUGUUAGCAAUUCUGACAGACUAAAUGAUAGUUGAGUAUGUGGACUUGCUGAAAAGCUCUUAUAUUGACUCUUUCCGAUGUUAUGAUAAAUUGCAAUUGCUUCAAUGACCGAGAUUAUAGUUUGUUGGUUCUCAAUGAAGUUUCUGAUUCAUACUUGACAUUGUGAAUAGAUUAUUACUUGAGCAUAAGAAAUCAUAUGACAAUAUCCAUAUAUGUUGCUGUUAUAAGUAUGAUCAUGAUGCCCUCAUGUCCGUAUUUUAUUUUAUCGACACCUCUAUCUCUAAACAUGUGGACAUAUUUUUUGUUAUCGGCUUCCGCCUGAGGACAAGCGAGGUCUAAGCUUGGGGGAGUUGAUACGUCCAUUUUGCAUCAUGCUUUUAUAUCGAUGUUUAUUGCAUUAUGGGUUGUUAUUACACGUUACGUCACAAUACUUAUGCCUUUUCUCUCUUAUUUUACAAGGUUUACAUGAAGAGGGAGAAUGCCGGCAGUUGGAAUUCUGGGCUGGAAAAGGAGCAAAUAUUAAAGACCUAUUCUGCACAACUCCAAAAGUCCUGAAACUUCACGGAAAUUAUUUUUUGAAUUAAUAAAAAAUACUGAGCGAAGAAAGUACCAGAGGGGGGCCACCCACCAUCCAUGAGGGUGGGGGCGCGCGCCCUGCCUCGUGGGCCCCCUGGCAGGCCUCCGGUGCCCAUCUUCUGCUAUAUGAAGUCAUUUACCCUGGAAAAAAAUCAUAAGCAAGCUUUCGGGAAGAAACUCCGUCGCCAUGAGGCGGAACCAAUCUAGGGCUCCGGCGAAGCUGUUCUGCCGGGGAAACUUCCCUCCGGGAGGGGGAAAUCAUCGCCAUCGUCAUCACCAACGAUCCUCUCAUCGGGGAGGGGGGGUCAAUCUCCAUCAACAUCUUCACCAGCACCAUCUCCUCUAAAACCCUAGUUCAUCUCUUGUAUCCAAUCUUUGUCCCAAAGCCUCAGAUUGGUACCUAUGGGUUGCUAGUAGUGUUGAUUACUCCUUGUAGUUGAUGCUAGUUGGUUUAUUUGGUGGAAGAUCAUAUGUUCAGAUCCUUCAAUCUUUGAUAGCAUUUUACUUCAUAUAAGAGUUUGUCCAGGCUUGUCCUUUGCUACAAAAAGGACUGGGCCAUCUUGCUGCACCUUAUUUACUUUCAUUACUUGUUACCCGUUACAAAUUACCUUAUCACAAAACUAUCUGUUACCUAUAAUUUCAGUGCUUGCAGAGAAUACCUUAUUGAAAACCGCUUGUCAUUUCCUUCUGCUCCUCGUUGGGUUCGACACUCUUAUUUAUCGAAAGGACUACGAUAGAUCCCCUACACUUGUGGGUCAUCACUAACAAACUUCAUAAACUUAAAAACUACUGGGGGAGAUUGGGGGAAUGAUCCAAUGAGUUGGCUGAUCCCGCUUGCUCCAAUGUUCACAUGUCGGGCCGCCCGAUUCAUUUUGAUCGGACCAACCAAGUGAAGGCGCAGAGGAGAUGAGAAACUUCCCGUAAUGAGACGAGAAACUUCCCAAAACGCUAUCUCCUCGCUCGACCUUAUCCACUCGUUUGAUCCGUCUUCCUCGUCUCUUCUUUUUCCCAAUUCUCUCCCUACUCCGGCAACAUACAGGGCAACGCUCUCUCCUUUUCCUCCUUCGUGCUUCCAUAGAGAACUGACACCACGAAGAUGCUGCUAGCAACAAGUAGCAAGCACCAGAUGCAACAAAGGUCUUGUUGCAUGAUCCAUGGAGUGUGUAUGAAUAAACUGAUGAUGCCCCUGUCACCUACGGAACCUCAUCGGCCAGGUCCAUGGAGUGCCUGCUUCAAGGUGCAUGCGUUGUAGGCCAGGCCCCGGACGCUAUAGGCUUGUGUCGCUCAUCGCUGAUUUGUGGACGAAAUCCACGGCCUAAUGCUACAAUUGCUUUAGACGGAAUUUUUGCAGCAAAGGUCUUGUUGCAGGAAUGCAGAGAAGAGGUCGAAGAUGUUGUAAUUUUUGCAAAAGAUCUUGUUGCAGGAAUAUAGCAAAGAGAUGGUUUUUAUGCAAUAAAGGUCUUGUUGCAGGAAUAGAGAGAAGAGUUUUUUUUGCAACAAAGGUUUUGUUGUAGGAAUAAAGAGAAGAGGAUUUUUUGCAACAAAGUUCUUGUUGUAGGCAUGUAGAUGUAGAGAAGAGGCCUCAGAUGUUGCAAUUUUUGCAACAAAAGUCUUGUUUCUGAAAUACAAAGAAAAGGUCAAAGAUACUUUUGUAACAAAGAUUUUGUUGCAAUGGAGUUUUCCAACAAAGGUAUUGUUAUAGAAAAAUAGAGAAGAGGAAGACCCGAUCUUUUAAAAAGAUCAGCCGGCGGAUGCAUAGCAUGCCCCAAACCCAAAUUCUAUGGCGGCUCCUAGGGAUCAACCGGAUGAUUUCCUAGAGAAAUCAUCCGCCUAGCCAGUCGUUGAUUUGCGAGAGCAUAAUUUAAUUAGAGCCGCACGAUCCCAUGGACCACGGCAGGAUCAGACCAUCGAUCACUCCGUCCUAACAUGUUCAAUUACAACCACUAGGAAUGCUUGCUAUCUUGCACUAGCCAUGCAACAGUCGCGUCGCUGGUCAGCUCACAGUAAAAACGACGACAAGCUCGCCACUACACAACGGCCACGGCUGCAGCGCUGGCGAGCUUAGGGUUGCAGCACCGGGUUGCAGUAAUGACGCUGUUGCGAGCCCGCGACCAUCCCCAUGAAGCACCGGUCAUGCUCCGGCAGCCCGGCGAUGCUCCAUCGUAACACCGACAGCGCUCCGGGAUGCUCCAUUGCAACACCGCUGAUGCUCCGGCGGCCCGGCGAUGCUCCAUUGUAACACUGGCAGCGCUCCGGGAUGCUCCAUUGCACACCGAUGAUGCUCUGGCGGCCCGAGGAUGCUCCAUAGCAACACCGGCGAUGCUCCAUAGCAACACCGGCGAUGCUCCAUAGCAACACUGGCGAUGCUCUGGGAUACGCCAUAGCAACACUAACGAUGCCUUGAAGCUCCGCUGCCGCGCGCGCAACACCAUGCGUGUUGUGUUGUCAGCUUCCGCCGCCGGCGAGAUACGUGGUCGCAGCACCUCCCAUGGCAGCGGCCGGCGGUGCUUCAUUGCAACCCUCGUCGGAGCUUCAACAACCUCCGGCGCUUCACUGCAGCCCCGACGGCGCUUCAUUGCUGUUCUGACGCCUGCACGCGGUUUCCACUCCAGCAUCUAGUGAAUGUUAACAAGAAUUUUCUUUAGAUAACAACAUCAGUGGCUAUAAUUUGAAUAUCUGAAAUGUGUAGAUGUGAAAGGUGUGUUCAACUCAUUGUUGAACUUCUAUUAAAAAAACUCAGUCUGAAACUAGAGUGGAAACUAUUUUGCUUCCAGAGAGAAGUAAUAACUCUAGAGUAAGAAAUCAAGGUUGCAAGAACAGAACUCCUACUUAAAAUGAGGACUCCUUUUGUUCAGCCAAUACUUCUUAGUCUGAAUUCCAAAAUUGGAUGCACUUUUGACACGAUAUCAAAGAAAACACAACAGGCAUGUAAACCCAAGAAGCAUUUCUAGGCACUGAUGAUGCAAGUAUAAGUAUAGGCCACUAACCUCAGAAUUCAAGGAACCAAGAUUGAUGUCAGAAGCAAUGGCACGCCGCUGCCAUGUAUCCCUGGAAGUCUGCAUCUCUUGCAUCUCUAGCCUGACCUGCUCCAGCAUGUCCUGCAUCCUAGUCCAUUGCUCCGAUUCUGGUAUCACUUGCUUCAUUAUCUUCCCCACAAUCUCCUUGCAGCCGCAGCAGCUUCCAGAGCGCACCAACUUGCAGUCUUGAGCCACAAUCUGCAAGGAGAAAGAUUUUAGCAGGACAUAAUUUAACUUUAACUCAAAUUUUCUUUCAGUGCGCGUGCUCAAAGCAUGCUUGUAAUGUAACAUAUUUGGGUCAUAAAAAGGAAUACUGUGGUGCUCCAUAGCAGCACCUCAACGGCCGCCGACUACCUGUUGCCGGAGAUGCUCGCCGGAGCAUCUCUCCCUCCCUCCCUCCCUCUCUCUCUCUCUCUCUCUUGAAAGUCUGAAUGUUUCUGAAACUACUGAAACUUCUGAAGAAAACUAACACCUACAAAAUGGCUGCCGUGCCAGUGUUAUUGUGCGCAACUGAAAUACCCAACAGCGCGACCACCGAGCGGCGGUGCUCCAUCGCAGCACCGGCUACCCCUGUCGAAGCUCCACCGCGGCAUCCCAUGUCGUCGGCGAAGCUUCACUGCAACAUAGGGCGGCAUCGACGGGGGCUGCGAUGAAGCACGCGAUGGCGACGACGGAUACUACGACACAGCACGGCGGUGUACGGAGAUGCUGCAACACAGCAAGUGGUGGUGACGGUGGACCUUGCAGUGGCGCCUUAUCUUGCAGUAUCAUCGCGUCUUACAGCCACAGUAGGUCGGGCCUUGCAGUCCCGUAGCGGAGAGUGAAUGGAGAGUAGGAAAGGGGAAUCGAAGGAAGAAGACAGAGAGAGGAUAAGGUGGACGGGGCGGUGAGUGGAUCCCAUGUUAAAUGCGUCACGCGAGAGACACGCCAGGGAGAGACGAGCGCCACACGAUCCAGCUGGAUCGGAUGACUCGCGGAGCGGUUGAUACCAGGGAGAAAUCGGUCGGUUUAAAACAGCGGAAACACUAACGCCCACACGUGUGGGCGUUUGCAUCUCGCCCACACGCGUGGAUCCAUGUCUGUUUGUGGUUGCACGAAUCUUGCAUGUUUGUGGUGCCACAUAGGACUGGGUUGGUGUCUGGGCAUUCAUCCGGUCGCCCACUGAUAACCCACAAGUAUAGGGGAUCGCAACAGUUUUCGAGGGUAGAGUAUUCAACCCAAAUUUAUUGAUUUGACACAAGGGGAGCCAAAGAAUAUUCUCAAGUAUUAGCAGUUGAGUUGUCAAUUCAACCACACCUGGAUAACUUAGUAUCUGCAGCAAAGUAUUUAGUAGCAAAGUAAUAUGGAAGUAACGGUAACGGUAGCAAAAGUAAUAUUUUUGGGUUUUGUAGUGAUUGUAACAGUAGCAACGGAAAAGUAAAUAAGCGAAGAACAAUAUGUGAAAAGCUCGUAGGCAUUGGAUCGGUGAUGAAGAAUUAUGCCGGAUGUGGUUCAUCAUGUAACAGUCAUAACAUAGGGUGACACAGAACUAGCUCCAAUUCAUCAAUGUAAUGUACGCAUGUAUUCCGAAUAUAGUCAUACGUACUUAUGGAAAAGAACUUGCAUGACAUCUUUUGUCCUACCCUCCCGUGGCAGCGGGGUCCUAAUGGAAACUAAGGGAUAUUAAGGCCUCCUUUAAUAGAGUAUCGGACCAAAGCAUUAACACAUAGUGAAUACAUGGACUCCUCAAACUAUGGUCAUCACCGGGAGUGGUCCCGAUUAUUGUCACUUCGGGGUUGCCGGAUCAUAACACAUAGUAGGUGACUAUAGACUUGCAAGAUAGGAUCAAGAACUCACAUAUAUUCAUGAAAACAUAAUAGGUUCAGAUCUGAAAUCAUGGCACUCGGGCCCUAGUGACAAGCAUUAAGCAUAGCAAAGUCAUAGCAACAUCAAUCUCAGAACAUAGUGGAUACUAGGGAUCAAACACUAACAAAACUAACUCGAUUACAUGAUAAAUCUCAUCCAACCCAUCACCGUCCAGCAAGCCUACGAUGGAAUUACUCACGCACGGCGGUGAGCAUCAUGAAAUUGGUGAUGGAGGAUGGUUGAUGAUGACGAUGGCGACGGAUUCCCCUCUCCGGAGCCCCGAACGGACUCCAGAUCAGCCCUCCCGAGAGGUUUUAGGGCUUGGCGGCGGCUCCGUAUCGUAAAACGCGAUGAAUCCUUCUCUCUGAUUUUUUUCUCCCCGAACACGAAUAUAUGGAGUUGGAGUUGAGGUCGCUGGAGCGUCAGGGGGCCCACGAGGCAGGGGGCGCGCCCAGGGGGGCAGGCGCCUCCCACCCUCGUGGACAGGGUGUGGGCCCCCUGACGUGGAUUCUUCUUCCAGUAUUUUUAAUAUUUUCCAAAAAUAUGUUCCGUGGAGUUUCGGGUCAUUCCGAGAACUUUUUUUUCUGCACAUAAAUAACACCAUGGAAAGUCUGCUGAAAACAGCGUCAGUCCGGGUUAGUUCCAUUCAAAUCAUGCAAGUUAGAGUCCAAAACAAGGACAGAAGUGUUUGGAAAAGUAGAUACGACGGAGACGUAUCAACUCCCCCAAGCUUAAACCUUUGCUUGUCCUCAAGCAAUUCAGUUGAUAAACUGAAAGUGAUAAAGAAAAACUUUUACAAACUCUGUUUGCUCUUGUUGUUGUAAAUAUGUAAAGCCAGCAUUCAAGUUUUCAGCAAAGAUUAUGACUAACCACAUAUACAAUAACUCUUAGGUCUCAUGUUUACUCAUAUCAAUGGCAUAAUCAACUAGCGAGCAAUAAUAAUAAAUCUCGGAUGACAACACUUUCUCAAAACAAUCAUCAUAUGAUAUAACAAGAUGGUAUCUCGCUAGCCCUUUCUGAGACCGCAAAACAUAAAUGCAGAGCACCUUUAAAGAUCAAGGACUGACUAGACACUGUAAUUCAUGGUAUAAGAGAUCCAGUCAUAGUCAUACCCAAUAUAAAUUAAUAGUAAUGAAUGCAAAUGACAGCAGCGCUCUCCAGCUAGUGCUUUUAAUAAGAGGGUGAUGACUCAACAUAAAAGUAAAUAGAUAGGACCUUCGCAGAGGGAAGCAGGGAUUUGUAGAGGUGCCAAAGCUCGAUUUUAAAGCAGAGAUAAAUAAUAUUUUUGAGCGGCAUACUUUCAUUGUCAACAUAACAACCGAGAGAUGGCGAUAUCUUCCAUGCUACACACAUUAUAGGCGGUUCCCAAACAGAAUGGUAAAGUUUAUACUCCCCCCUCCACCAACAAGCAUCAAUCCAUGGCUUGCUCGAAACAACGAGUGCCUCCAACUAGCAACAGUCCUAGGGGGAGUUUUGUUUGCAAUUAUUUUGAUUUAGUUUGCAUAAAGCAUGGGACUGGGCAUCCCGGUGACCAGCCAUUUUCUCGUGAGUGAGGAGCGGGGUCCACUCCUCUUGAGAAUAACCCGCCUAGCAUGGAAGAUACAGACAACCCUAGUUGAUACAUGAGCUAUUCGAGCAUACAAAACAGAAUGUUUAUUUGAAGGUUUAGAGUUUGGCACAUACAAAUUUACUUGGAACGGCAGGUAGAUACCGCAUAUAGGAAGGUAUAGUGGAAUCAUAUGGAAUAACUUUGGGGUUUAAGGGGUUGGAUGCACAAGCAGUAUUCCCGCUUAGUACAAGUGAAGGCUAGAAAAAGACUGGGAAGCGACCAACUAGAGAGCGACAACAGUCAUGAACAUGCAUUAAAAUUAAUAAACAUUGAGUGCAAGCAUGAGUAGGAUAUGAUCCACCAUGAACAUAAAUAUCGUGAAGGCUAUGUUGAUUUGUUUCAACUACAUGUGUGAACAUGUGCCAAGUCGAGUCACUUAAAUCAUUCAAAGGAGGAUACCACCCCAUCAUACCACAUCACAACAAUUUUAAUAGCAUGUUGGCACGCAAGGUAAACCAUUAUAACUCAUAGCUAAUCAAGCAUGGCAUAAGCAAUGAUCUCUAAUUGUCAUUGCAAACAUGUUUAUUCAUAAUAGGCUGGAUCAGGAACGAUGAACUAAUCAUAUUUACAAAAACAAGAGAGGUCGAGUUCAUACCAGCUUCUCUCAUCUCAGUCAGUCCAUCAUAUAUCAUCAUAAUUGCCUUUCACUUGCACGACCGAACGAUGUGAAAAUAAUAAAAGUGCACGUGCAUUGGACUAAGCUGGAAUCCGCGAGCAUUCAAUAAACAGGAGAAGACAAGGCAAUAUGGACUCUUGGUUAAAUCAACAAUAAUGCAUAUAAGAGCCACUUUAAAAAUUUAAUUAUGGUCUUCUCCUAUCGACCCCCAAAGAAAAGAAAUAAAACUAUUUACACGGGAAAGCUCCCAACAAGCAAAAGAAGAACGGGAAAUCUUUUUGGGUUUUCUUUUUAAUUAUUACUACUACAACAAGAAAGUAAACUAGCUAAAAGCUACACUAAUUUUUUGGUUUUUUCUUAAGGUUUAUUAAACACACAAGAAGAAAGCAAGGAAAAGGAAAAUAAACUAGCAUGCAUAUUACAGUGAAAGAGUAUGAGCACCGACAACUAGCAAUGAGUGUGUGAACAUAAAUGUAAUGUCGGUGAGAAAUACGUACUCCCCCAAGCUUAGGCUUUUGGCCUAAGUUGGUUUAUUGCCACGGCUGGCCUGGCGGAUAUCCAUAAUUGUAGUCGGGGUCGUACUGAGAUGAAGAAGACUCUGAUUGCCACUGGUUGGCAAUCAUCUCUGGAUCCCACUGGUAAUUAGACUGUCGUGGAGGUUCAAAUUGUGGUUCCGGCUCCGGCUCUAUGGCUGAUGUAGGGUUCCGGUAGGCGUGAAUGGCCGCCAGCGGAACGAGAUACGGACCUGCAGACAAAUCAAACAAGGAAGGAGCAGGCAAGGUAAUAGUCUCAGGGUGAUGUUUAUCAAAGAACAAUUUGUAUUUAAGCGCCCCUUCCCUAUUCUUAACAAUAAAGUCAUGUGCUACCAUACUCUUAUAAUCUAAAUAAGCAGUGGGCAGCAAUUUUUCUUCUUUUUCAUAGUGCCUAAUAGGUAUGUUAUAGUGUGCAGCAAGGCGUGAAGCAUAAAUACCUCCAAAGAUGGGGCCCUUUGUACGGUUCAGACUUAACGUUUGGAAAUAAUACCGCCCAUACUAACAGUGUUAUCACAGAAUAAACCAUGGAACAGAAUAAUAAUAUCAGGAACACUAAGGUUUCCACAGUUUCCGCGACCAAUUAAGCAACGACUAGCAAAUAUGGCAAAGUAGCGUAAGACAGGAAAAUGUAUGCUAGUGAUUCUUGCAUCGGAAACCUUCCUAGUUUCCCCUACAGUAAUAGUGUCAAUAAACCCAUCCACAUCUUUACGAUGUGGUUCAUCUAAACUACCCUCAAAAGGUAUUUUGCAAACCUUGCAAAAUUCAUCUAGUGAUAUCUUCUUAACCACAUCAUAUAAAUGAAACUCUACUGAAGGAGGUGAUUCCUUAGGGUAAUAGUAGAAGUUUUGCACAAAAGUAUUGGUGAGUAAGAGAUACUGUUCACGUUGGUCGCGGAGGAAGUCGGUGAGGCCUGCAUUCUCAACCAAUUCAUAGAAAUCAUCAUAAAUCCCGGCUGCUCUCAAGAAAUCAUUGGAAGGCCAUUCACACGGCCGGACCUCCGCGGUGCGAGGCAAAUUAUAUUUGGGCCUCUGUGCUUCUUCACUUUGCUUUUCCUUCGAGCUUCGGCUCGAUGAGCCCCUCAAAAAUCUCUUCAUUAUUUUCUGAAAAAUUCUGAAAUUUUUAGUAACUUCAAAUAAAAGUGAACCAAGCUCAACAAAAUUGAUAGCAACUACUCCUACAAGUGCCUAGAGACUAUAUCAAGCAUUAUAACUACUUGGAACCAUAUAAAUUUGACAUGCAAGCUCAAGAACAUGGUCACCUAGGCAGCACAAAUUUGCAAUGAAUAAAGCACUAGAACAAAAACUAAUUGGACCAAUGGAGGAGUCACAUACCAAGGAACAAUCUCCCCAAGCAGUUUUGUGAGAGGUGCUUUGAGCAAGGAGAUCGAAAAUCGCAGCAAAAUGAGCUAGAACUCGUGCUUGAGCUGGAUGGUGAUUUUUUGGGAGGAAGAAGAAGUGUGUGGGUGCAGGAAUAAGUGGAGGGGAGCCACCGUGGGCCCACGAGGCAGGGGGCGCGCCCUGUAGGGGUGGGCGCGCCCUGGACCCUCGUGGGUAGGUGCUUGCUCCCCCUGCUGUGUUCUCAGUGCCAGAUAUUCUCAAAUAUUCCAGAAAAAAUCAUAUUCCAUUUUCAGGGCAUUUGGAGAACUUUUAUUUUUGGGGUAUUUUUAUAUUGCACGGAUAAUUCAGAAAACAGAUAGGAAAAUACUAUUUUUACUUUAUUUCAACUAAAUAACAGAAAAUAGAGAGAGGGUAUAAAAGGUUGUGCCUUCUAGUUUCAUCCAUCUCAUGCUCAUCGAAAGGAAUCCACUAACAAGGUUGAUCAAGUCUUGUUAACAAACUCAUUCCGAAUAACAUGGAACCGGAGAAAUUUUGAAUAACACUAUGUUACCUCAACGGGGAUAUGCACAUCCCCUAUAAUAAGAAUAUCAUAUUUCUUCUUGACAGUAGGAAGAGGAAAUUCAAAACCUCCAAAAAUAAUCGAUGGAAUUUUUCCAAUAGAAUUGAUACUAUGAACUUGAGGUUGUUUCCUCGGAAAGUGUACCGUAUGCUCAUUACCAUUAACAUGAAAAGUGACAUUGGCUUUGUUGCAAUCAAUAACAGCCCCUGCAGUAUUCAAAAAAGGUCUUCCAAGAAUAAUAGACAUAUUAUCGUCCUCGGGAAUGUCAAGAAUAACAAAGUUCGUUAAAAUGGUAACGUUUGCAACUACAACAGGCACAUCCUCACAAAUACCGACAGGUAUAGCAGUUGAUUUAUCAGCCAUUUGCAAAGAUAUUUCAGUAGGUGUCAACUUAUUCAAAUCAAGUCUACGAUAUAAAGAGAGAGGCAUAACACUAACACCGGCUCUAAGAUCACAUAAAGCAGUUUUAACAUAGUUUCUUUAAUGGAGCAUGGUAUAGUUGGUACUCCUGGAUCUCCAAGUUUCUUAGGUAUUCCACCCUUAAAAGUAUAAUUAGCAAGCAUGGUGGAAAUUUCAGCUUCCGGUAUCUUUCUUUUAUUUGUAACAAUAUCUUUCAUGUACUUAGCAUAAGGAUUCAUUUUGAGCAUAUCAGUUAAUCGCAUACGCAAAAAGAUAGGUCUAAUCAUUUCAGCAAAGCGCUCAAAAUCCUCAUCAUCCUUUUUCUUGGAUGGUUUGGGAGGAAAAGGCAUGGGUUUCUGAACCCAUGGUUCUCUUUCUUUACCGUGCUUCCUAGCAACAAAGUCUUUCUUAUCAUAACGUUGACUCUCUGAUUGUGGGUUAUCAAGAUCAACAGCAGGUUCAAUUUCUACAUCAUUAUCAUUGCUAGGUUGAGCAUCAUCAUGAACAUCAUCAUUAACAUUAUCGCUAGGUUCAUGUUCAUUACCUGAUUGUGUUUCAGCAUCAGAAAUAGAAAUAUCAUUUGGAUUCUCAGGUGGUUCAGCAAUAGGUUCACUAGAAGCAUGCAAAGUCCUAUCAUUUUUCUUUUUCUUCCUUUUAGAAGGACCAGGUGCAUCUAAAUUAUUUCUCUAAGAAUCCUGCUCAAUUCUCUUAGGAUGGCCUUCAGGAUACAAAGGUUCCUGAGUCAUUUUACCAGUUCUAGUAGCCACUCUAACAGCAUAAUCAUUAUUCUUACUAUUUAAUUCAUUGAGAUCAUUUUGAGCUUUAAGUACUUGUUCUACUUGAGUGGUGACCAUAGAAGCAUGUUUACUAAUGAGUUUAAGUUCACCUUUAACUCUAGACAUAUAAUCACACAAGUGUUCAAUCAUAUAAGCAUUUUGUUUUAAUUGUCUACCAAAAUAAUCAUUAAAAUCUUCUUGCUUAACCAUAAAGUUAUCAAACUCAUCCAAACAUUGACUAGCAAACUUAGUAGGAGGGAUUUCAGCUUUAUCAUAUCUAUAGAGAGAAUUUACCUUUACUACCUGUGUCGGGUUAUCAAGACCAUGUGUUUCUUCAAUAGGUGAUGGAUUAAGAUCAUAUGUUUCUUCAACAGGCGGUAAAUUAAGACCAUGUAUUUCUUCAAUAGGAGGUAAGUUCUUAACAUCUUCAGCUUUAAUACCUUUUUCUUUCAUAGAUUUCUUUGCCUCUUGCAUAUCUUCAGGACUGAGAAAUAGAACACCUCUCUUCUUCGAAGUUGGUUUAGGAAUAGGCUCAGGAGUUGGCUCAGGAAGUGUCCAAUUAUUUUCAUUGGUCAACAUAUUAUUCACUAGAAUUUCAGCUUCAUCCGGUGUUCUUUCCCUGAAAACAGAACCAGCACAACUAUCCAGGUAAUCUAUGGAAGCAUCGGUUAGUCCAUUAUAAAAGAUAUCAAGUAUUUCAUUUUUCUUAAGAGGAUGAUCGGGCAAUGCAUUAAGUAAUUGGAGAAGCCUCCCCCAAGCUUGUGGGAGACUCUCUUCUUCAAUUUGCACAAAAUUAUAUAUAUCCCUUAAAGCAGCUUGUUUCUUAUGAGCAGGGAAAUAUUUAGCAGAGAAGUAAUAAAUCAUAUCCUAGGGACUACGCACACAACCAGGAUCAAGAGAAUUAAACCAUAUCUUAGCAUCACCCUUUAAUGAGAACGGAAAUAUUUUAAGGAUAUAAAGGUAGCGAGAUUUCUCAUCAUUAGUGAACAGGGUGGCUAUAUCAUUUAAUUUAGUAAGAUGUGCCACAACAGUUUCAGAUUCAUAGCCAUAAAAAGGAUCAGAUUCAACCAAAGUAAUUAUAUCAGGAUCAACAGAGAAUUCAUAAUCCUUAUCAGUAACACAGAUAGGUGAAGUAGCAAAAGCAGGGUCAGGUUUCAUUCUAGCGGUAAGAGAUUGUUGCUUCCAUUUAGCUAAUAAUUUCUUAAGAUCACUUCUAUCAUUGCAAGCAAGGAUAGCUCUAGCAGAUUCUUCAUCCAAAACAUAACCCUCAGGCACAACAGGCAAUUCAUAUUUAUUAGGGGGAGAGUCUUCAUCAUCACUAUCUUCAAUAUUAUCAGUUUCAAUAAUUUCAUUCUCUCUAGCCCUAGCAAGUUGUUCAUCAAGAAAUUCACCAAGUGGCACAGUAGUAUCAAGCAUAGAAGUAGUUUCAUCAUAAGUAUCAUGCAUAGCAGAAGUGGAAUCAUCAAUAACAUGCGACAUAUCAGAAUGAAUAGCAGAAGCAGGUUUAGGUGUCGCAAGCCUACUCAAAACAGAAGGUGAAUCAAGUGGAGAGCUAGAUGGCAGUUCCUUACCUCCCCUCGUAGUUGAGGGAUAAAUUUUUGUUUUCUCGUCUUUCAAGUUCUUCAUAGUGAACAGCAGAUAUAAAUCCCAAGUGACUCAAAGAAUAGAGCUAUGCUCCCCGGCAACGGUGCCAGAAAAUAGUCUUGAUAACCCACAAGUAUAGGGGAUCGCAACAGUUUUCGAGGGUAGAGUAUUCAACCCAAAUUUAUUGAUUCGACACAAGGGGAGCCAAAGAAUAUUCUCAAGUAUUAGCAGUUGAGUUGUCAAUUCAACCACACCUGAAUAACAUAGUAUCUGCAGCAAAGUAUUUAGUAGCAAAGUAAUAUGGAAGUAACGGUAAUGGUAGCAAAAGUAAUAUUUUUGGGUUUUGUAGUGAUUGUAACAGUAGCAACCGAAAAGUAAAUAAGCGAAGAACAAUAUGUGAAAAGCUCGUAGGCAUGGGAUCGGUGAUGGAGAAUUAUGCCGGAUGUGGUUCAUCAUGUAACAGUCAUAACAUAGGGUGACACGGAACUAGCUCCAAUUCAUCAAUGUAAUGUAGGCAUGUAUUCCGAAUAUAGUCAUACGUUCUUAUGGAAAAGAACUUGCAUGACAUCUUUUGUCCUACCCUCCCGUGGCAGAGGGGUCCUAAUGGAAACUAAGGGAUAUUAAGGCCUCAUUUUAAUAGAGUACCGGAGCAAAGCAUUAACACAUAGUGAAUACAUGGACUCCUCAAACUAUGGUCAUCACCGGGAGUGGUCCCGAUUAUUGUCACUUCGGGGUUGCUGGAUCAUAACACAUAGUAGGUGACUAUAGACUUGCAAGAUAGGAUCAAGAACUCACAUAUAUUCAUGAAAACAUAAUAGGUUCAGAUCUGAAAUCAUGGCACUCGGGCCCUAGUGACAAGCAUUAAGCAUAGCAAAGUCAUAGCAACAUCAAUCUCAAAACAUAAUGGAUACUAGGGAUCAAACCCUAACAAAACUAACUCGAUUACAUGAUAAAUCUCAUCCAACCCAUCACCGUCCAGCAAGCCUACGAUGGAAUUACUCACGCAUGGCGGUGAGCAUCAUGAAAUUGGUGAUGGAGGAUGGUUGAUGAUGACGAUGGCGACGGAUUCCCCUCUCCGGAGCCCCGAACGGACUCCAGAUCAGCCCUCCCGAGAGGUUUUAGGGCUUGGCGGCGGCUCCGUAUCGUAAAACGCGAUGAAUCCUUCUCUCUGUUUUUUUUCUCCUCGAACACAAAUAUAUGGAGUUGGAGUUGAGGUCGGUGGAGCGUCAGGGGGCCCAUGAGGCAGGGGGCGCGCCCCCACCCUCGUGGACAGGGUGUGGGCCCCCUGACGUGGAUUCUUCUUCCAGUAUUUUUAAUAUUUUCCAAAAAUAUGUUCCAUGGAGUUUCGGGUCAUUCCGAGAACUUUUGUUUCUGCACAUAAAUAACACCAUGGAAAGUCUGCUGAAAACAGCGUCAGUCCGGGUUAGUUCCAUUCAAAUCAUGCAAGUUAGAGUCCAAAACAAGGGCAAAAGUGUUUGAAAAAGUAGAUAUGACGGAGACGUAUCACCCACACGUCCGUUUUCAUCACACGGAGGGACCGGUGUAUGGGCGUUUAGCAGUUCGCCCACACAUCAAUUUUCACUCACGCACGAGGGCUGAUGUGUGGGCAUUUAUCAGUUCGCCCACACGCUCGUCUGCUCUCCCACACCCAAAGCUGCCAGUUGCCAUGUGUUUUUGCAAGGUACAUGGCAACUGCCCUAGUGUGCUUGUAACCAGAUGGCAACUCUCUCUUUUAUCCGAACAUAUUAGUUGCCAUGUGUUUUGCAGGGUACAUGGCAACUGCCCUAGUGUGCUUGUAAGCAGAUGGCAACUCUCUCUUUACCCGAACAUGUUAUUUUGCCAUGUCUCUUUGUGGCACUACACGACAACUGCCUAGUGUUAGUAGGUGGCAACUCUUAAACUUUUCAAAUCAUGACAACUGUAGUAAACAGACCAUACAUGGCGACUUCCUAGUGUUAGUAGAUGGCAGCCCCUGAAGUUUUCAAAUCAUGGCAACUAUAGUAAACCAAACCAUACAUGGCAACAAUUGCGGCUGUCCAAAAAUGGCAUCUGGCACUUGACCUGAGAUGGCAACUGCAGUUGAGCAACCAUGGCAACUGUAGUUGUCCGACAUGGCACUGUAGUUAAGCAACAUGGCAACUACAGUUAAACGAACAUGAAAGAGGGUUCGGACCAUGGCAACUGCGGGGCGCGUGGUGACUGUCACGCGGGGCGUGCGGGACCAUGAGGUAGGAGGCCUGACGUAUGGGAGUGUGGGCGUUAUCUAUUUUACCCACACGUAGGCAUAUGAGAGGGACCGCGAGAAAAAAAAAAGGCAUGUGGUCAUUACUUAUUUUGCCCACACGUAGACGUGUGAGCUGAUCCUCUUAAACACCACACAAAAUGUAUGGGCAGACCCUCUAGAUGGCACACGCGUGGCAGUUAUCAUCGUCCUAAAACAAACCUUUUCCAAAUUCUAUAGCAAUCGGCUAUUUGCCCCCCUUCCAGACCUACCCUCAGCCGUCGGAUACCAAUCAAAUGGUUAAGCUUCAGAGCUCUCCAUUUUUCGUGGUACAAAAACUCCCCUCCGCGGCCGAACUCAAAACGGAAUGGCACCGCCGCCUCGCCUCCUCCCUCUCCUCCUCGGUCGCCUCCUCGUCUCCGGCGACCUCCUCCGCAACACCGCCCACCUCCGCCGCAUCGUGCCCCUCCUCCCUUCCCACCCCCACCUCGCCGCCUCCCUCUCCAGCCUCUACUUCCCGCUCUUCCCCUCCUCAUGCAUCUUCCUCCACAACCUGCUCAUCCGAGCCUCCGCAACCUCCCCGUCUCCUCGCAUCGCCUUCGCCGCCUUCUCCUCCAUUCUCCGCUCUGGCGAUGCUCCCGACCGAUUCACCUUCCCUUCCCUCCUCAAGUCGGCGUCCAGGCUCGCCUCUUUCCCGCGCACGGGCGCGCAGGUGCACGCGCAGGCCGUCCGGCGCGGCUUCUUGAUCGACGUCUUUGUCGUCAAUGCGCUCCUCGCGAUGUACGCCGCCUUCCGGGACACGGCAUCCAUGCGGGAGGUGUUCGAUUCGUGCGCAGGGGUCACCGACGUGGUGUCUUGGAACACGGUGCUCGGUGGCUAUGUGAAGUGCGGGGACAUCAGGAACGCCCAGAUGGUGUUCGAGGAAAUGCCACAGAGGAAUGGGGUGUCCUGGAGCGCGAUGGUUGGGGCAUACGCCGGUUCUGGCGAGUUGGAUGUGGCCAGGGAAAUGUUCGAUGAGAUGCCGGCCAUUGGGAGGAACAUUGUGACAUGGAACUCGAUGAUAACAGGAUUCGCGCGGCAUGGGCUACUGCCACUGGCUAGGAAGAUGUUCGAUGAGAUGCCGGUACGGAAUCUGGUAUCGUGGAACACAAUGAUCCGGGGGUAUGCAGUGAACGGUGAGAUGGAUGGUGCACGGAAGCUGUUUGAUGUGAUGCCGGAGAAAGACGUGGUUUCCUGGACGUGCAUGAUUUCUGGGUAUGCACAGGCUGGACGCUACGCAGAAACCCUUGAGCUGUUUAGGGAAAUGCAGAGCGAGAGCAGUGCCCGUCCUAAUGAGGUGACCAUGGUGAGCGUGCUUUCAGCAUGUGCACAUUUAACAGCUCUGGAAGAAGGGAGGUGGGCUCACACUUACAUUGACAAGCACAAGAUGGUGCUCGACAAUGAGUUCAAUCUCGGUGCUGCCCUCAUUGACAUGUAUGCCAAGUGUGGGAAAACCGACAUGGCUGUCAAAAUCUUCUACUCGUUGGACCAGAAGAAUGUCUCCGCCUGGAAUGCACUCAUCACUGGGUUGGCAGUGAAUGGUGAUGUUCAGGAUUGCAUCGGUGUGUUUGAGCAGAUGAAGAGGUCAGGAGAGAAACCGAAUGACAUAACGUUCGUUGGUGUGCUGACUGCUUGUGCCCACAGCGGGCUGGUGGAUGAGGGUCGACGGUGCUUUCAGAGCAUGUCAUCUACUUGCAGAGUGCAGCCAGAGGCAAAGCAUUAUGGCUGCAUGGUUGACAUGUUAGGCCGAGCAGGGCUUCUUGAAGAGGCAGAGGAGCUGAUAAGGACCAUGUCGAUGGCCCCAGAUGUCAUGGUUUUGGGAGCACUACUAGGUGCCUGUCGAAUGCACAAGAGAUUUGAUGUGGCUGAAAGAGUCCAGAGUGAAAUUAUUGGUCUCAACACACGGCAGGCUGGCUGCCAUGUCUUGAUAUCAGACGUUUAUGCUGCUGCUGGCAAAUGGGGAGAGGCUUUAGAUGCAAGGCGUGUUCUUCAGAAGUGCACAAUCAGGAAAUUGCCAGGAUCAUCCAGCUCGAUGCGAUAGGUUUGAAUUUAUUGCAAAAGCCUAAGCCAUCGCAUAUAGGGCUGCAUUCUCUAGCAUUAAAUGGUGUCCUUUCUAUUGGUAUUGGGAUUAGACCAUUAUAAAUUUCUGUUAAAAGUGUUCAGCUGCCCUGUGUGCUUCAUAUCUGAAUUUGAGAUGAAACAGACCACAUGCUUGUCCCUUCUUGCUGAUAACCGUUUCUCUGUUUUGGAGUAUUGGUCAUCCGUAAUUCUUGUAGAAUAGGAAUUGAACUUACCAAAUUUCACUGAUGGGAUUCGCUUCUCAAAAUUUGGUUGUAUCAUCUUCGCAAUCUGUACAAUAACAUUUCCAAAUUUCAGCUGGUGUUAAUGUGACUAUGAUCUGGUUCUUUUCGAUUCUGCUGAAUUCUAAGCAAAAAAGAGUGAGUAACCCUGGCUGACGCCAGAAGAAAUAGUAAGGCUGCAAACACAAAUGUCAUGUACUCCCUCCGUUCCUAAAUAUAAGUCUUUUUAGAGAUUUCAAUAUUGACUACAUACGGAUGUAUAUAGACAUAGUUUAGAGUGUUGAUUACUCCUUUUUUUUCGUAUGUAGUCCAUAUUGAAAUCUCCAAAAAGACUUAUAUUUAGGAACGGAGGAAGUAUCUUUUUUGCUAUGGUUAGUUGGAGGAUCAUGCCAAGACGUCUUAGUAAUAAUAUACGCAAGCACAUAUAUAUACUCAUGUGGAAGUCUGAGGGAAAACAUUGAUUUUUUUCCUAAAAAUAUGAUUCUAUAACUACUUUGAGGGGAGAUGGACUUUGGAAUACUGGCCACGAAAUAUAUUUGAGAGAAUACAGGACGUAUUCAUUCAGAAUUGUACUUUCCAACUGAGAAAUCCCUGCAACGUUCAACAGCAUGUAGCCGUAUUCUUUUAACUGUAUAAACUGCAGAUUCUUCUUGUAUUUCUUCUAGCAGAACUCCCAUUCUUCUAGCGGUAUAUCUAGGACUACAAAUUUUCCGAGAAUAUUUAGGACUAAUGCCAACAGACGCCAUCUUAAAAUGAUUUCAACCUUCUCAAGGAAUACAAGGCAUCAAUAGAAGUAUGAUAAAAGUGUGAGGCGUUGUCGUUUUAAGGUACUGCGAGUUAUACAGUACUAAACUGGUUUUUCAUUGUUCAGAUCUUCAGAGUCAAAGUGGAGUCUGUCAAAUAAGGGCACAUGGAGCCAGUGCUGAACACCGCCAAGAGCUAUAUCAAAAAAGGAGUCAAAGUGGAGUCCUCCCUGUCAGCAGAAACAACAACAGGAAUUGGCAUAUUCAUUCAACUUGAAAAAGAACAGCGACAGCAAGGCAAUUCAAUUAUUCAUUCAGGCUCCCCCUUCCAGGCUACCAGCCUAGGGAGUGCAUUUUUAGAAGAGCAAGUUUUCUCUUUGAUGUUCACCAAAACAUAUCAGUGACCUGGUGAACCCGCAUUUACCAGUUGCUUCCUUUGAUGUUCAGGCUCGUUUCUCAGAUUGUAACGAUGACUCAAAAGUUGGCGUGUAGCUCAAUUGAUCACUCAUGGAGCUAGGGAUUCUUAAAAUAAAGCUCAGGCGCCACCAAACAUGGCUUUAGAUGCAAGGCAUGUUCUUCAGAAGUGCGCAAUCAGGAAAUUGCCGGGGUUAUCCAGCUCGAUGUGGGUUUGAAUUUAUGGGGUUUGAAUUUAAAUGGUGUGCUUGGAUCAUUAGAAUUCAACUGCUCUGUGCUUCGUAUCUGAAUUUGACAUUUUCAGUUGAUUUUUAAUGUGAAAAUUAGAGGCUGCAAGCACAAAUGUCAAGUCUUUACAGAUUGAGUAUCUUUUAUGCUGAGGAUCACGCCAAGACGUCCGAGGAAUAUACGCACAUACUCAAAGCUGAAAGAGUUAUUUGUAAUCAUUCAAGAACAAGUCAGCACCAAACUCGAGAAAAACUUCACCGAGAAAUACAGGAAUUCGCAAUAAAAAGCCAAGAAGGCCAGCAGAAAGCAAAAAGAGCAAACAAGGCGAUUAACUCGGAAGGUACUAAAGACGAUAUAUAUAAGCAACGAUUACGGUACGCAGUUCCGGGGACUCCACAGACCACUCCCCUAGCCCCAUUAGGGCAGGCUAGGCACAGUAAACCACAAAAGACAAACCGACCACGCGACAGUAACCCAAAAGAUAAACUAGCUCUAGGACUCGGAUAGCAAGCAAAUGCACACGCCUAGUCGACCUCCUCCAUCUUGCUCUCGCCGGCGUCCUCCUCCAACGGCGGCAUGUCCGUGUCAGCCUCAGCAGCCUCCUCGUCCUCGUCGAUGCUCAGGCCCAGCUUGAGCAUGCGGUGGAUCCUGGUGCCGAAGGUGUUGGGGUCGUCAAGGCUGAAGCCCGAGGUGAGCAGGGAGGUCUCGAACAGCAGCAUCACCAGGUCCUUGACAGACUUGUCGUUCUUGUCCACGUCGGCGCGCUUGCGCAGCUCCUCCAUGAUGGCGUUCUCUGGGUUGAUCUCCAUCGUCUUCUUGCUCGACAUGUAGCCGCCCAUGCUC
rnacentral:lncRNA from 1 species